AUCAACAGAGAAAACUUCAAACACAAAUCACUCUCACCAUCUAAUCUCACUUUCCGGGAACAAAGUUGGUGGCGUAGGCCCAGGCAUUGUUGUUAACUGGGUCAGCAAGGUGGUCAGCCAAGUUCUCCAAUGGUCCCUUUCCGGUGACGAUGGCUUGGACGAAGAAUCCAAACAUGGAGAACAUAGCCAAUCUGCCGUUCUUGAUCUCCUUCACCUUAAGCUCAGCGAAUGCCUCUGGGUCGUCAGCAAGACCCAAUGGGUCGAAGCUGCCACCUGGGUACAAGGGGUCGGUCACCUCACCGAGAGGCCCGCCAGCAAUACGGUAACCCUCAACAGCUCCCAUCAAGAUAACUUGGCAAGCCCAGAUGGCCAAGAUGCUUUGAGCGUGGAUCAAGCUUGGGUUUCCCAAGUAGUCAAGCCCACCUUCGCUGAAGAUCUGAGAUCCGGCCUUGAACCACACAGCCUCACCGAAUUUGACUCCAUUCCUAGCCAAAAGCUCAGGGAAAACACACCCAAGAGCACCCAACAUAGCCCACCUACAGUGGAUGACUUCGAGCUCACGGUUCCUGGCAAAUGUCUCUGGGUCCGCCGAGAGUCCAGCAGUGUCCCAACCGUAGUCACCAGGGAAUUCUCCGGUCAAGUAAGAUGGAGGCUCACCAGAUAGUGGACCCAAGUACAAGACUCGGUCAGGACCGUACCAUGGACUUCCAGAGGGAGCAGCCUUGGUAGCGGUUUUCCUCAUGGAAACACGGCCAUUGCCUUGGAUUUUAGGGGCGGAAGGAGAGAGCUUGACGGCCUUUCCGGCGAAAGAUGGGGAAGAGAGAGCCAUGGUUGCAGCCGCCAUUCUGAAGGGGAAAGAUGAUCUCGGGUGAUGGGAGUUUGUGGUAUAAGUUUUGAGAGUGAUGGAAAGGGGGCAAUGCGCAGGGAUUAUAUAGGGAGCUGUGGGCGAGGUUCCUCAAUCCUUAUCUAGGCCAGUAUCUAUAUCUCUCAUUUCAUUGGGGGCUCAAGAUUUCGAUAUUUUCUUUGGAUUUUCCACUUGGCACUCUUUCCAUCCACAAAAACACUUAACGGGCAGUAGCCGAUGCCAGUAUCUAUCUUUUUUUUUUUUUAAUUCUCAUUUUGUCUUUGAAAUUUGAAUGCACAGUUGGAGAUUUUGACACUCACUAUAAUUAAAUAUUGACAACCACAAAUUAUUAGGACAAUAAACGAGUUUUGAAAGAGAGAAACUUGUUGAGCCCAUAUGCAGUAAAUUUGUUCUUCAAGUUAUGAUGUUGAAAUGAUGGCAGCAAAAUACAAGUCACUGAGUUUGAGUGGCUGUUAAGAUAUUUAUGUAAAAUAUCUACAUGGGGAAAAAUAUCUUGCGUUGCAGCAGUAGCACCAUGAAAAAUACUUGAAAUAGAUCAAAUCUGUACAAACUUUAUGAACCAAAUUCACCCCCCUCCCCAGUAGGCUAAAUUUAGUAUGGAGACAGAGUUCCUUUUGUCAAGCAGGAACAGAUAAACAAUUUACGGUUGAUAAGAAGCCAAUCAGCCAUUUAAAAAGCUUCCAAAUCUUAGCUUUGAUCAUUGUUAUUUCUUUUUCUAAUUUUGUGUUGUGUUUAUAGUUGAAGCAUUUACGGUAUUCUGCAAAAUAAGGGCAACAUUAUAUAGACAGUGAAAUGGAAAUAUAUGUUUCUAAAUGCAGACUGUUAGUAUUGUUAACGUGAUAACGAGCUUAGCCUUGGAACAAUUUUCUCAGGAAAAAGUUAGGAUUUUUCCUAUUUUGGUACAACUCAAAAGCGUUAUCUUAUGAUUAUCAAUGUCUGAAUUCCUAUUGGUUUGUAACAUUUGGGAUGUCUAUUUUGCAAUGUCCAGUUGGAGUAAUUUUGGUGAAGCUGAUCUAUCGAAAAUCUCAACCAAUUUUUGAAGUGUUAUUUGUUGCUCCAAUGAGAUAAUGCCACUUGUUAUGGUCGGAUAUAUAUUCCCCAAUACCAUAUCUGCUUGGAACAAACAUUAUUUUAUUUGUUUUUUUUUUACUGUUUGCUUACAGAUUAAUGGUUGACAGAAACAAGAAUCACGGAAUUUAAAAAGAAAAAAAGAAUUAAUUAAGUUUUUUCAUGAGCAUUCAAAAUUUUAAAUUGUAUUAAUUAAGCCUUUUUACUAUUAUUUAUUUAUUUUUAACCAUUACUGUCAAUGAUAACAAUUUCUAACCUAUUAUUGCCAGUUAGUAAAAAAUUAAAAAAUUUCAAAAAAAAUUAUUUGAACUUUUUAUAUCUAGAAUAAAUUUGGACAAAUAAAUAAUUAUUUGUGUAGGUUCAUCUUGGAUUUAAUCUUUUAAAAAAUAUAUAAAUUUUAAAAUUAAUAAAAAUGUUAAAUAAAAUUCAAAAUAGAAAAUUAUUUAAAUGUUUAAGUCCAAAAUUAUAUAAAGUUUUAAAAAUAUUAAUUUUUCUUAAAAAUAUGAAAUGUGUAUCAAUGUUUUAAUUUUACUGUAACUUUUAGACUAUAAAAAAAAAGAAUAGAUCGUAUAUAUAUAAUUUUAAAUUUUAUUGAUUCUAUUUAUAAAGUUAAAAAAAAUGAGUAUAAAUGUAUCUCAAUUGUAUUCUUACACGUGUAGCACUAAAAGUACUUGAACAAACUAAUAGAUAUUACAAUUUACUAAAAUAAAUAAAUUAGUUAAUAAAAAUUUUAUUUCUAAAAAACAAUUUGAAAGAAUUUUAAUAUUACCAAAUUUGAAAAGAGUUUUAAAUAUAAAAAAUUAAUCAAAUAAUAUGAAGAAUAAUAAUUUAAAAGGUAAACUACGUUGGUGGUGUUAGGUAGGUUUUAUUUUGGUUACUCAAUUUAAAAUAUUUUCAAUUUCGUCACUAGCAUUUUUAAAAUUUAAAAUUUUAAUCCCUACCGUUAAAUACUUAACGAAAAGUUGACGUGGGCCAUUUUUAUUGGCCUAAUAAUAAAUUUAGUCUUUCAAUACUUACACAUUUUAUCAAUUCAAUUUGAUUCUUAAUCUAACAAUUUAACAAAUUUACAAAAUUUGUCAUUUAGUUCUAAUUCUAAAAAAUUGAAUAAAUUUAGCUUUAUAUAUUUACAGAAUUUAAACCUUUAGAAUUAGAUUAAAUUAACAAAUUUUGUUUGAGUUUCAGAGUGCGGAGAAAACCGAAGUUAAAAUGAUCAAAUUUUAUUGGAUGAUGUAGGUCUCUUAUAAAAUUCCCUAAAAAUCCCUUCAUUAGGAAUUUGAACUUUAGAAUUUUUAUUUAGAUUUCAAAAAUAGUAAAUUAAAUGGUAAAAUAGUUAGAUAUGUAAUAUUUAAAGCCCAAACUAAUAACUAGGGUAGAAGAAGUACCUGAUUUAUGUAAUAUAAGUUUUUUCUUAGAAUACAAUUAAAAUGUUUUGAUAUUUGAGGAUCAAUUUAUAAUAUGAAAUGUAGUUUGAGGAUGUUAAUGCAAUUAACUCUUUCUAGAUAUUCAAGCGAUAAUUGUAUGUACAUGGCUGAUGCCUUUGUUAGUGAGGGAUCCAGCUUGGAAGGGUAACUGCAAUCUGUUUAAUCCGUUGGUUCGAUAACUUUUUUUAAUUAACUUAAAUCAUUUAAAUCGACUUUGAUUCAGUUCGUAAAGUAAGUUUUUCCAGUAAAUCGAGGUUGGAUUAUUAGGUUGAGUUUAUACGAUUAUAUAUUUAUUAUAAAAUAUAAAAUAUAGAUAUAUUUAUAUAAUUUAAAAAUAAUAUAAAAUAAGUUAACUUUUUCGAUCAAUUCAAUUUCAAGUUUCAAAAAUUAAUAACUGACCAAAUUAAUCGAUUAAGUCAAGGCCAAAACUAACCAAUUCACUCACUUGACUAAACUGAAAUUAAAAAAAAAAAACUGAAUGAGUCAUUUUUUUCGAUUUUUUCAACUAAAACUGAAAAUUGGUCUCCAUAAAUAUGAUAGUCUAAAGUUCAAAGAUUCAAUGUUUCUACAAGGUAAACUUAAAGGAUUUCGGUGGGAAAGUACUUUUCCAAUUAGUGAUGAAUAUAUUGCUUUUAAAAAGUGUUUUUUCGUCUAAAUAAAAAAGUUGAGAUUCGGAUGCUUUUGACUUUUGCUCUCAUCUUUUGCGUUUUGAAGUGAAAUGAUCAAAAUAUCAUUAUUUAUAGUAAUUAUAUUUAAAAUGUAUAUAAAAAAUUAGUUUCAUUUAUAUUUUUUAUAUCAUUAUAUUAAAUUAUUUAAAUAUCAUUUAUCAUUAUAUUAAUUUACUUAAAUAUUAUUCAUAAAUAUCGUUAUAUUAAAUUAUUCAAAUAUCAUUCAUCAUUAGGUAUAAAAUUUUAAAAUAUUUUAUUUUUGUAUCAUUGAUUUUAGAAGUAAUUUAUAUUAAUAACUCAAAAGGUGGUUGGAAUUUAUAUUUCAUGUAUCAUUAUAUUAAAUUAUUUAAAUAUUAUAUAAAUUAAUUAAUUUUUUUCUUUCCAAUAUCAUGUUUAAAAUAGAUAUUUUAAUUUUCAAUCACAAUUUUUGAUAACAACAUCAAACAUUUAAAAUUAACAAACCAUACUUUUUUCAUAAAAUUUUCAAAAACAUUUUUCAACACAGUAAUAAUGGGGAACUAAGCCUUCAUUUCUAAGGGCUAAGAAGGGUUGGAUGGUUAGUUAUGUCAAUCUGUUUUGAGUUGGGUUUGUGUUUAAAUUUUUUAAUUUUGGGUUGGUCUGAUUCAAUCUGUUUUAUUGUUUAAAAAAUAAAAUACAUAAAAAAUAUUUUUUUAUUUUUAUAAUUAAAUUUAUACUAUACCUCCUAAUUUUUUUAACAGUUAGUUAUAUGUCUUGCAAUUAAAUCUGUUUAAGGGUUGAGUUCUCUGUUUAAAUUAGAAAAUUUAUUUGAAAUAUAAAAAUGUUUAAAUAAAAAUAAUAAGCUUGUAACAACCUAAUUUUUAGUGGUAUCAAAAACAGUGAUUUGGGAUCACUAAAUCCGACAAGUAAGCUUGAAAAUAUAAUAAAUUAAUAAUUAUGGGUCAAAUGUGAAUUUAAAAGAAUAUUUGAAUUAGUGAAUUCUGUGAUUUAGUGAAUUUUGUGAUUUAAAAAGAAUUUAAUUGGUAAAUUGGGUCUAAAGCAAGGUAUCGAGACCUCGAAUUCAUAAGUCGAGCCAUAAAUAUUUUUAUAAAUAUUUAUGGAGUGUCAUUGAGUUAGUAUAAAAGUUUCGUUAGAAAAUUUUAAUGUUUGGAUAGUCAAUUAAUUAAAAAAGACUAAAUUGAAAAUAGUACAAAAUUUGUUAAAUUGUGAUUAAAUAGUUUUGGGCAAGAAAAUCAGCAAGAAAAUAAGGAGAAAUAAGGGAAAAAUUGGAAAUUUUGCAAAUUAAACAUAUAAAAUAAAGACAAAAUUGAAAAAUCUAGAGAUAUUAUCAUUUUUCUUCAGCCAAAACGCCAUAGGAGAGAGUUUUCAAGCUGGUUUUUCAUAUUUGUCAUCAUGUAAGUUCAAUUAUUGCUUUUUCUUUGUAAUUUUUCAUGUUUUGUGACUUUUACAAUUAAGUCCAAUUAUUGAAUUCAUUUGUUUUUGAUUCUAUGAAUGAUUUUGAUUCUUUGAAAGUUACCAUGAGUGAGUACUGGAAUUUUAUGAUGAAUUAUUAUAGAUUUUAAGCUUUAAUUUUAUUAUAUUAUGAUUUUAUUAAGUGAUUUUAGUAGAAAAUGAUUUUUAAGACUUAAUUGUGAAAAAGUUAGGAAUUGGGAUUUUGUACUGAAAUUCUGAAUAUCAAAGGCUGUAUAAUAGCCUAAAAUUAUUAGAUAAAGUGUUAUUUGAGGAAAAAAAAUUAGUUCAAUUAAAGUGUUAAUUGAGUAGGGACUAGAUUGUAAAAACUGUAAGUUUUGGGGUAAAAGUGUAAUUUAAAAAAUUGAAGGGCAUAAAUUAUGAAGUGAAUUAGUAUUGAGUUAGAUGCUAAUGAAUGGAAAAAUUUAUAUUAUAGAUCGGGAAUCUGAAGAUAAAUGCGGAAAAGAGAGUAUUAAAAUAGUCUUUGAACUUUUACAAAUCCUACAAAUUGGCCUAGGUAAGUUCAUACGGUUGAAUUUUUAUGGUUAAUUGUUAAUGUGGGAAUGAUAUAUUGUAUCAAUUCGUAUAUUGUUUUUGAAUUAUGUUUAUGGUAAAAAUGAGAAAAAAAAUGAGAUUGUUAGUUUAAAUUAAAGGAUACGUAGGAUUGAGUACAUACGUUCUGUAAUCAGUGAUGAAUUGACGAAUAAGCCCAUGGUGAAUCCAUGGAAAAAUUGUGAAAGGUAGGUAUGUUUCAGUGAAGAAAGCCAUACUAAGUUGUGAAAAGUAUGUAUGGUGUUUCAGUGAAGAAAACCAUACUGAGUUGUGAAAAGUAGGUAUGGUAUUCCAGUGAAGGAAACCAUACUGAGUUAUAGCAUUGUAAAAUAUUCAAGCAAAUCGUGGCACCGGGCAAACGAUGUACUCAAAUCCGUAAGACGAUCCUUAAUUUGACAAGUAUUUGUAAGUGCAAUUGAAGCUGAAUGUUGGAAUACAAGUUGAUAUUUAAUAUUGAGCUCAAUUGAGUAAAUUCAUUGUUUGAGAUUGUGGUUUGUAGGAAAUGUUGUAUUAUACUUUGAAAUUUCAUGAAUGCUAUGGUAUGUUAUUUUAUAUGAAUGUUAUUAAACUGAGAUAAUUGUGAAAAUAUAAAUGUUUGAAUAAAAGUUCUAAUUUAGUGGAACAUUGGAUUGAGUACUUUCGUUCAGUGACUCAUACGCAUUGACGGAAAAGACCAUGGUUGGACCAUGGCAAUAUGUGAUAUGUGAUUUCCGUAUAAGACCAUAUCCGAGAUAUGGCAUCGGUGUGAUAUAUGCUUCCAUGUAAGACCAUGGCUGGGCUAUGGCUUUGGUGUGUGAUAUGUGAUUAUGUGCAAGACCAUAGUUAUACUAUGGCAUUUUAAAAAACGAAGUACUCAAUUCCGUAAGCGUUUCCUAAAUUGAUUAAGAAAGGGAAGAAUUAAUGAAAUUAUAAAUUGUAUACUUGUUAUAAGAUGUUCGGUAAGAAUUAUUUUCUAUGCCUAUGAACUUACUAAGCUUACAUAAGCUUACUCCUGUGUGAUUAAUGUUCUUUGUAGAUUGAUGUGAAAUCGGUGGAUCAGAUCAACACAUCAAGGCACACUAUUCAGAUUACUUCGGUAAAUUUUAUUGUGCAUCUUAAGGUUUAUAUGGCAUGUAUAGGGUUUAAGUGAAGGUGUUAUAAACUUAGUUAUCGACAUUUUCCACUAAAACAGUUUUUGGACAGCAGCAUUGACAUGAUUUUAAAAAAUUACUAAAAAUGGUGGAAAUUGAAUUAGAAGAUGAGUAAGAUAUGAAAUUAAAGCUGAAUGAGUCUAUUUUCACAUGAAAGAAAUAGAGUAAGCAAAAGAGUUGUAUAUUUUUAGAUAUUUGAAUUUUAGUGAGACAGGGUCAGAAUAGUUUUUGAAAUCACAUGUUCUGACUUUAGAAAAUUAUUAAAAAUUGUACAGAAAGAAUUGGAAGUUAUAAUUUAUAUUUAUAGAUUCCUUAGUGAGUUUUUUUUCAAUAGAAACAAACGAGAAUGUUAUCCGAAUUCUGUACAAUGAGAUAAUUAAUUUUUAGUGAAGAGGGGUCAGAGCUGUCGAACAAUGAAACAGGGGAGACUUUAAAGAAUAAACUAUACUAAUUGACUAAACCAAAAAUUCUGAAAAUUUUAUGAUAAGAAUAUAUAUGAGUCUAGUUUCAGGGAAAAUUUACGGAUCUAAAUUUUGAGUUUUGUAACUUGAGUUAUAAUUAAAUUAGUGACUGUUGCGCAGGUGGACAGUUUUAUUAUGAAUGGUGAAAUGAAUUUUUUUGAUUUGUUUUAGUAUUUGGAAAAUUAUUAAUGUUCCCGGUUUGGACCCGAACUGUUUCUAUUGCAUGAUUUAGGGUCUCGAGAUUCCUUUUUAGGGACAUAUUGAAAGAACGUGAGUGAAUUAAUUUUAAAAGAAAAUUUUUAUGCUCCGAACUAGUAAGUUAAGUUAGGUAAUACCUCGUGCUCGACUCCAGCAACGGUCUCGGGUAAGGGGUGUUGCAAAGCUCAAAAAAUAAGCUUGAGCAAAAUUUAAGACUCGCUUUUAUUUGAGCUGAGUCUUAGAUAAGAUUUUUUUUCCUCAAAGUUGAACCCAAGUUAAAUAUACAUUUAAUAUAUAUUUUAAAUAUAAUAUAAUAUAUUUAUAAAUUAUUUUAAAGAAAAACAUUGCGUGACACGCUUUCUUCGGACCUAAGCAAAUAUUAAAAGACUUGGAACCUUGUUUCAACAUGACUCGACCAAUUGAUCAUGUCCUCAUCAUUUAUUUGUAUUGUUCAACUUUUUACAACAACAAAAAGAAGGCACAUUGUUCUAUUCAUUAAUGGUAGAGUCACUUGCUGUUGUCUAGCUCAAACUUCAAACGUCAAAGGCAAAAGUACGUUCAAUACAUUUACUACUAGAUGUAAUGGUAGAGUCACAAAUUCAACUUAUCUGUUGGAUUUUCUACCAGAAAGAUGAAGAUGAUACAUUCAAAACCACCGUACUUACUGAAUAUGAACCGGUCAUACUUCCAAGCCCGAUCAAGAUCAUUUUGUAGUAUAAAGAAACAUUAAGCAUAUAUAUUGCAGUAAGCAUAUGGUAGAACAUAAUAAUAGAAAGUUGAGUAAAAACUAGUCUCAGGCUUUGACUCAAUGAUAGGCAGCUGCACCCUGCAGUGCUGAAUGUUCGGAUAAGCCUAUGCUAGAAGAGUUCAGAAAUUUCACCGGUGUUUUCGGUCUUCGGCAUGUAGUCAUCGAGAUAUUGCUGAUAGACAUAGGAAAUGAAGCCCCAAAUAGCCAAAACCAUAGAUAUCACCUUUAUACCAUCCAUUUUGUCAUUGAAGACAAAGACUGCAAUUAUUGGAACUAUAGGCAAACCAAGUGCACUAAUGGCAGUGCAGAAGAGGGCAGACACCUCCAACACUAAUCCUACUGCACCAAUGUAGAAAACAGCCCAACAUAUAGCAGUCCAAAUCAAUACCAUGAGAUAGGAAAAUUUCCCAAGUCCAUAUUCAUCCAUUUCUCCGCUAAACCCUUUCCAAUCUCCGCUAGCAAAGAAGCCCACUAGUAUAGCACUUGAUGCAACGAGUGAUUGGCACAUCACCAAAUCCAAGACAACCUUAAAUGACUGCCUUACCACAAGCUUUCGAAGCGCAAACUGCUGUAAGGCAACUAACAGUCCAGACCCUGCUGUUCCCAAAAUGGUGCAUAUGAAUCCAGCGGCACAAUGUACUUGAGAAACUCCAGCAAGCCUUGAAGAGUUAUUAUUGAAUACAAGGAGCACUGAGGAAAUGGUGAGAAGGACUAGAGAAUUGAUGAUAAAAGGAGUGAACCUUUGGGAAUUAAGGAAGUACGAAAAGAAUGCAUUAAAAGCCAGCUGAGAUGCAGCAAUGAGGGUGACAGUAGAUAUAGGAAGAUACUGCAUGCCAACUGAAUAAAGAAAGCCAAUUCCAGCUGACAUCAAGCCGAAGGUUACAUAGACCAAACCCAGCAUCAUAAUUGAUGGUUGGUUAUUACUUCCAAUGCUACAAUGAUUGGCAGUGAGCAUUUUGGGCCGAGAAAUGCAAUAGAAAGGGACUAGAAUAGGGAAACCUGCAAAUUGAAUUAGUGUUGAUAGCCAUUUGCUUUUUCCACCUUUGUCAAAGUAAAGUCUUCCCAGCAAUGCGGCUACUGAUUGGCCGCAGAGGAGAAAGAUUAUACAGAGCAAUAUGCAAAUCCAGCGCUUGUAUUUCACAGUUCCCAACUCUGUUAUUACUUGGUUGGUGGCAUUUCCAUUUUCUUCCUUAGCUUCUUGAGCUGCCAAAUAUCAAACAUGAUGUACUUGAGUCUCAGUAUUGAAUGAAAUUUGAAAUAUUCUUUUUCUUUAAUGUAAGUUGGUGAUUCUAAUAUCAGGCUAGUUCAAUCCCCAAGUUUAAGCUUAAAGAGUGUAGACAAUUUGAUAUCAAGAUUGUUCUUAUUUCAGUCAGACUGGAAGAUUGAUUUUAUACUAAAAUCCAUAGAUAAAAUCAAACUGUUUUGAGUUCUUUUGGAGGAGAAGCAUUUUCCAUCUUCCAAGUUUGGUCUAAAUUUAACUUACUAUACAUUGAUCAGUACAAAAUAGGGUGCAAGUGAGAACUCUUAAUCAUAUAAAUCAACCCAAUUUCUAGUCUUCAACUAUCAACAUGCUUAGUUUGAAACCUGGUAUAUAUAAUAUAUUGCUGUAAUAAUUAUAUGUAUGCAUAAUCACCUCUAAAGGUAAAUUAUAUAUAUAAAUAUAUUCCCGGUAACUAAAUAAAGCCAUAGUCACAGAUGAAACACAUAGUGUAGUGGUAAAAAGUUUUUUUUAAUUAAUAAGAAAAUCAACUUCUGCAACUAAAAUAUCAUAUGAACAUAACUUUGGGAAGGAAAAAAAAUUGCAGAAAAGUAAGGUGAAGACUUACCUACGAUGGGUAGUUGAAAAUGCCGAGUUUCUGCCAUUUCUUGCAAAGGAUGAUUAUCCAGCACAAUAUGGUGAUGGUAAUACACACACGCAUAUAUUAUGCCUGAUUGGUGUGGACUUUUCAAUGGUGUCAUGCAAUUAUUUGCGUCCAGCUUUUUACUAUUAGGUGAACUUAGUGUUAGAAUUUGGACUAAUCCAACAUGAAAAUACUGAUUAUAUACAACAGAAGCGACUUCAAUAAAACAUUAAGUAGUUAAUACGAUAUAAAAUAUAUAAGCAUGAAUUAUUAAUAUUUUAAAAUUUAUUUACCAAUAUAUAAUACGAAAAUAUAAAUAUAAUAUGAAUAUAUAAUUUUUUAUUUAAUUUAAUAUUUAAACUAUUAUUUAAAUGUGUGAGUAUCACUCGAAUCAAAGAAAUUACUAAAUAAUUUUAUAUUAUUUAAUUUUUUAUUUUUAAAAAUGAUAAAUAUUGAGAUUUUAACUAAUUUACCCACUUAGAAAAUUGAGGUUCUAGAAUGUAAUUUCCAUUUGACUAUGAGUAGAGUUGAUUUGACUGUUUUGACGCCUUGUUCCUGUGAUUUUUUAUUUUGGUCAAUGAUUCACAAAGCAAGUUGAAAAGAAAAUUAAUUGGGGGGAUUAUUCUCCUGAAAAUUAAUAUGAAGUUGGACCCAAUGCUUUUAAUUUCGUAGCGGCCGCCAAAGGAGACCAGUAGGAUUUACUUUAUCUUUUCUUUGUCAUAAAAUAAUAUUAUUUUUAAUUCCAAUUAAUUAUAAAUCAAAAUAUUUUUCAUUUAAUUCGAUAACUGCAUGUUAUGGGAUUAAGGUUAAUUUUUUAAAGAGAGAAAUGGCAUAUUAUUUGGAGAAUUCCAGACUUUGGCUUGCAAUCCUGCGACAAGUUCUAUGGUUUCUUUGCUGUACGCCGAGUCUGUCAAAUUCAAUUGUAUUGCUAUUUAUACGAUAAACAUGAAAACGAAAUAGCUCCUGCACGUAAACAUUGUACUAUGCCAUCAACAACAACGACAUUAAGCAUAAUCAAUCAGCAUCAUUCUUAUACUUACAACCAAUGAAAAACAGGUAAUAAAUUGAUUAUGAUAUUUUUAUCUUUCUUCAUCACAUGGAAAAUCCCGAACUAAAUAACCCUAUUAAGUAUGAAAUUGUUUAAUUUUAGAUACUCAACUUACAUUUAACAACUUGUUAUUAUUGCAAUUCACAAUACAUAACACUAAGAGUUGAACUCUUAAAAUUUAGAACAAUUUGAUUUUCUUCUCUAUAUAACUUUGAUAAAGACAUUGCGGUAUUUCAUGUAUCAUAAAAUAAAACCAGUAGAGAAGCAAAACCCAAGUCAUUUCAAAUGCUAUUGACAACAUCACAUACUUUCAUUGGUACUACAACCUAGACCUAUCCAUGGGCCGGGCCCUAACAAAAUUAUAGGUCCGUUUGAUAGGCCCGGGCUCGACCCGACUUGAAAAAACGGGCCUAAAUUAUUGCUCAAGCUCAACCCAUAUUAUAGAUAACAAACCUGAGCCCAACUCAUAUUAAAAUUAUUUUAUUUUAUUUUUAUAUAAACAAUUAAAAAUAUAAUAAAUCAAAAAUACUAAAAACAUUAAAAUAAAUGUUUCUCAACAAACAAAUUGAAAAUAAAUUAAAAAAUAUAGUUAUACUUAAAUAACACUAAGACAAGUGCAACUUAACAAGAAAAUGACUUUAAAAUAGUAGUAAAAUUAACAAUAAAACAAAAGUUCUACAAUAUCCAAACAAUAACAGCAAAAUAGUAGUAAUAUAAUAGUGAAAUGACAACAAAAUAGUUAAAAAAACAGCAAAACAAUAGUUUUUUUUUAUACAAAUUCAGGUUAGGCCUAAGCCAAAAGAACCUUACUUGAGGCUAAACGGACAUUUAUUUGCUCAAGCCCAUUUUUCGAGAUUAUAUUUUUGCCCAAACCCUCCUACUUUUCGAGCGGGCCUUCGGGCCGGGCCGGAUAACCUUGCCCAUGGACAGGUCUACUACAGCCUAACAUGUUUUAAAAUUUACCAUAAAUUACAAUGCAAUAAAUUUGAUAUCCAUUAUUUCUUUAUAGGUUUUUGAAGCGUUUUUAUUCUUGAUUUAUUUAGAAGUCUUUCCUUUUUUAAACAUUCUAUCAGAUGUUCCAAGGUGAGGUUGUAAUUUUAUCAAAUAACGAUAUCGAUUUUUGGUACUUUUCAACAUAUAAUUGACUUAAAAUGCACCAUAAAUCAUGAAUUUUUUUUCAUUUUAUGGCAUAUUUGAUAUAAUAUAUAUAUGAUCAAUAACGCAAGACUUAUACUGCAUUCAAGAAACAUAUUUACCUACCUAAUUCAAGAUUCAUUUACUAUCACGAUAAUCAAUUGUUGAACGUCAAAUUUGAUCACCUAAUUUAAUUAGUUUUAGCAUUUAAUGUCUAGGGUUUUUUUUUUUGCCUAUAUAUUUGAAUUCUAUCCAAAAAGAACUUCAUUCUAAACCAUUUAAAAGGCUAGUAAAGCAUUCCUUUUUUCCACCAAUGAUAAGUUUAUGUUCCAUGUGAUUUCUGGGCCAAAUCAAUCGCCUUUUGUUUUUCUUUUAAUACAUCUAGUUGGUCAUAGACCUCAUUGAAAUCUUUGACAAGCAAGUUGAUUCUUACCUUACAGUAAGCCUCAACAGGAGCAUCAGUGGUUUUAUUAAAAGGUUGGUUUGGGUUUAAAAAGCGUUUAGCGACAGAUUCAACAGACGGAUGACCAAACGAAUAAGGUUUACCAGCUAGUAAGAAAAUAAUAAAAAGAAUCUCACCACCACAUAUAGUGGAGAGCUUAGAGAUUUUCUUAUAAAUUCCUGUACGUCGUUUUGAAAAUGAGAUGAGCCUAUCAUCCUCAUUUUUAAUGAUUUUAAUCUCAAUUUUUUGUUUUCCCCUAGUUUCUUGCCCGAGCUUGCCAUUGCAAAAAAGAUCAAAAGAUAAAAGAAACAAACAAAAAAGUUAAAAAUGAAUGUUUUACUAGCCUUUUAGAUGGUUUGGAAUGAAGUUCUUCUUGGAUGGAAUUUAUAUAUAUAGGCAAAAAAAAACUCUAGAAAUUAAAUGCUGAAACUAAUUAAAUUAGGUGAUCAAAUUUGACGUUCAAUAAUUGAUUAUCGUGUUAGUAAAUGAAUCUAGUCUUGAAUUAGAUAGGUAAAUAUAUUUCUUGAAUGCAGUAUAAAUAUUAUGCUAUUGAUUGUGUAUAUAUUAUAUCAAAUAUGCCAUAAAAUGAAAAAAAAUCAUGAUAUUUUGGUGCAUUUUAAGUCAAUUAUAAGUUUAAAAGUAUCGAAAAUCGAUAUCGUUAUUCGGUAAAAUUAGAAGCUCACCUUAGAAUAACAAACAUCACCAUACUUUCAAUGGUAGUACAACCUAACCUAUUCUAGAAUUUACCAAAAUUUGCAAAGCAAUAAAUUUGAUAUCCGUUAUUUCCUUAUAUGCUUUUGGAGCAUUUUUUUUCUUGAUUUAUUUUGAAUUAUUUCCUUUUUUGAACAUUUUAUCAGUUAUUCCAAUGUGACCUUCUAAUUUUACCAAAUAACAGUAUCGAUUUUCAACAUAUAAUUGACUUAAAAUGUACCAUAAUAUCAUGAAAUCUUUUUUCAUUUUAUGACAUAUUUGAUAUAAUAUAUAUACGAUCAAAAACACAAGAUUUAUAUUGCAUCAAGAAAUAUAUUUACCUACCUAAUUCAAGACUAGAUUCAUUUACUAACACGAUAAUCAAUUGUUGAACGUCAAAUUUGAUCACCUAAUUUAAUUAGUUUCAGCAUUUAAUGUCUAGGGGCUUUUUCUUUUUGCCUAUAUAUAUAAAUUUCAUCCAAUAAGAACUUCAUUUCAAACCAUUUAAAAGGCUAGCAAAGCAUGCCUUUUCAAUUUUUUUGCUUGUUUCUUUUUUCUUUUGAUCUUUUCUGCAAUGGCAAGCUCAAGUAAGAAAAUUAAGGGAAAACAAAAAAUUGAGAUUAAGAUCAUUGAAAAUGAGGACGAUAGGCGCAUCUUAUUUUCAAAACGACGUACAAGAAUUUAUAAGAAAAUCUCUGAGCUCACUACUUUAUGUGCUGGUGAGAUUCUUUUUAUUAUUUUCUCACCGACUAGUAAACCUUAUUUGUUUGGUCAUCCUUCUGUUGAAUUUGUUGCUAAAUGCUUUUUAAACUCAAACCAACCUCUUAAUGAAACAUCUGAUGCUCCUGUUGAGGCGUACCAUUUGAAAAGUCACCACAUCUUUUUAAGUUGUUUUAUGUAUUUAAAAAGUCAUGUUGUCAUAUCCCUUUUUGAUAAAACUUCAAAAGAAGAAGAAGAUGGUAACAAUAAAAUGCAUGCAUUAAGAGCAAAUAAAUUAAAAUUAAAUUUGAUUAUACAUUUGCAUUUUUUGCUUACUAAGUUUGUGUAAAUAUUUACGAUUAUAAUUAAAUAAAAAACUUAAAAUUUAAAAAUAGUAUAAAUGUUUUUUUAAGUAAUAAAAAGGAAAGGUGAUAGCGAAAUUAAUCUAAAUGUUAUAUUUAGAUAUAUUUUACAUGUAAAAAGUUUUUAAUUACGGUUUAACGAUUUAUUUUUUAAGUAAUAUAAAGAAAAGGACAUAACGAGUUUUGCUAUAAAAAAUUCUAAAUGUUAUGCUUAGAUAUAUUUUAACGUAAGGAGAUAAAAAAAAACAUGUACGCGAAUUUCUAAUUUUGUUUUAGCGAUAUAUUUUAUUAAAUUAGGAUAAUGUUGAAUUCUAUUGUUUUGUUUUUCUUAUUGGGAUAUUAUAAAAGAAGUUGAUUAUUCAAUAUUUUUUUUAAAAAAAAUUGCAACAAAACAAUUAAAAAAAAAACCCAUCUAUGGAAAUUCAAAUGAGUACCCAUAAAAUAAUACAAUAAUAAUACCCAAUAAGACAAUGAUAUUACUUGACGGAAGUACCAUGAAGAUGAGCUCAAAUGGUUGCUUAAAAUUAGAGAGAAUCAAGUUGUGCCAACAAAACAAUGUUAAUUUUUUACCAUAUUAGGAAAAAUAAAAAUAAUGUAUACAUGGUAAUAAUGAAGGAUUAAUCAGUAAUACCAUAAAUUGACAAUAGACGACCCUUCAAUUUUUCUUAGUUUGUUCUUCUCAAGUGUUAAUAUUAUAUUAAUUUUGCCGACAUAGCAACACUAGCGGUUAUUGUUGUGUUAAGUUAAUUAAAAAUGUAAGGAGUGCCUAUAGAAGGGAUCCAUAUUCUAAGCUUUUGAGUGCAGUGAGUUUCUUCAAAUUUCUCCCUUCUCUUGUUGAUUUGUUUUGUUGUAUGGUGGGUAUGGAUGCUCAGCACUCUUAUCGUCAAUAAUGCUGUCGACAUUCAUGAUUAAAUAUAAUAAGUCCAUUACUUGAUUACUUUGUGAUUGCUUUAUUUAGUAAUGCAUAUUGCAUGGAAAAUUAAAUUCAACAACACUUAACUUUACCUAGUUUAAGAAUAUGACUGAUUAAUCUUGCAGUAUUUUAAACAAUUUCUUUAUUUGUAAUAUUUUUAAUUAUUAUAUAUGUUAAAUAGGAUAUCUUAUAUAAUUUUUUUUGAGAUAAUUAAUUUAUAAUUAUGUAAAUAAUAUAACAUUAUGUAAAUACUUAAAGUUGAACUGAGUUUAAGUUUAAUCUUCAUAAAUUUCAAUCAAAAUUAGCUUUGGCUUAUUCAUGAACAUAUUUAGGCGUAAAUUAUUGAAAAAAUUAAAUCAAUUGAAAAAUAAUAUUUUUUAAUGAUUUAUUUUUUUAUACAAAUUUAAUAAUUCAAAGUAAAAAAUGAUAGAAUUUUUUCUUUGAAAAAGUGUGGAAAAUUGUAAGUAUAUAAUAGUUACUUAUCACUUAAUGGAAAAUAUUUUUAAUUAUUUCAAAUUUAUUUUAAUUAUUUUAAUAUUAUAUUAUCCUAUAAAAAACUUUAUGUUUAAUAUUUAACUUUUAGUGAAGUUUUGAAAAUUUAAGGAUAAAAUUUAUAAUAUAAUUUUAACAAUUUAAUAUCUAUAUUUAUCAAAUAAUUUAAUUAUAUUUCAUAAUUAAUUUUGAAUAACAUAUUAAAUAAAUUUUAUAACUUAAAAUUUCAAUUUAUUAAACAAUAAAAGUUAACAAUAACAUCAAAAGGAUAUUUAACAUAUAAUUCAAAUCUAGUUGCUUUAAAUAUUGAUAAGCAAAGCAAACGUGAAAUGAAAAUUUUAAUGCUUUUAAAAUAUUUGGCUAAGGUAAAAAUUGUGGUGCCCAGAAAUAAGUAGUUUUAAUUACACUUAAAACGUUCUUAAAUGAAAGCUUUUGUAAAGAUUUACUCAGUGUAAAAAAGAGAAACACUAUACUCUUUAAAUUAAAAUGUUCGCUUCAAAUAAAAGUGAGAACUACAAGAUAAAUAAAUAGAAAGAGAGACAUAGGCAUAUCAAGAGUAAGUGUUCAAAGAUUCAAAUGGCUGCAACAAAAGAUAAUUUGAUUUUAGCUCAAUUUAUAUCUAAAAACAUUUUCUUAUUAAUAAGGUUACAUUCCAUUCUCUCACUCAAAAUAUUACAUAAUUAUACCCAGUUUUGAUGUCGUAAAAUACAUCCCCAAAUGACAAAUGAUUAUGAGAGAAGUUCCCAAUAACAUUUUGCAUUACUAUUGGAUCUCCAAUUUGUUUGGUACCGAAACACCACAUUCUAUGUCACAUCAAUCUACAUUUUUUCCUUCAAUAAAUGACCAAAAAAGGGAAAAAAAUACAAAAGGAGACGAUAUAUUGCAGUUCAUCAAUAUUCAACAAAAUGUAAAGAAAAAAAAAAAAGGAAAAAGAUUUACUUCCUGUUGGUUGCCUGCUUGCCCCCCAUCAUGCUCCCAAGGCAAUACCAAGACUCAUAGUUCCAGAUCGAGGAUGAAAAAUAGAGGGCAAUUUUACUCAAAAUCGUUGGAAACAUUCAAAUCCGAAAGCUUAGAUCGUGUAUACGUCUUCCAAGUUCACUUAUUCUGCUCCAACUAUUUAUGUAUGUUUUUUGUAUGUCCGAUGUAAAAGCGCUCGCUAUCCAACUUCAUGCGUUCUCAGGCCUGUAAUUAUGGAAUCAGUUAUAUGCAGGUUAAUAUAACAUAACAAAUGAUGAUAAAGAAGACCUGACACAUUGUCUAAAAUUCAGAAAACUCGUUAGUUCUUCAUAAUGAUUAGGAGCUUACAGUUGAAUGGGGAAUCUGAAGAAGAAUGAGUGAAGUGCAGUACAAACACACUGAAACGACUACUCCAGCAAUGAAAUUAUAUAGCAGCCGUCGGUUGUCUUUUGUGGGAAUGAAAACUGACUUAAGUUUAUUGGUCAAGUCGAACAGACGAUGAGAUAUCUGCAGAAGCAAGGCAAGAUGGUAGCAAAAGUGAGCAAGAUGAAUACAAUUGAAACUGUUGACAAAAUAUGGAAGAGAGGAGAGAAUUUGCUCACCAAGACAUAAAUAGCUGUUGUGAGCAUGAAGUUGAGUAGGGGAUAUUCCGGGAUAAAAGAAAGAAGCCACUUGGGCUGUCCAUUAGUCAUGUCUGAUCUGCAGGUGCGAAAUGCAAUUAUAACAAUCUUGUAGAUAUGUAAAUAUGUUAAUCUUACGUUGGCUUCAGUCCUUGUUGAAUUAUCAUGCUUUUUAUGAAGAAUCAAGAGAUGGAACUAGUUAUCCAGGAAAACCAAUUUCACUAACAGGCUUUUGUUUUAGAUAUAAUUUGAGGAACAGAUUAAAACAAGACGUUUAAAUGGUCAACAAACCUCAACCAGAUAUGAAAUUGUGAAAUGUAAGUCUCCAGAGUUAUCUUGCCAAGCCACCUAGGAAGCACAAAAAUGUAGCAUUAAUUAGAGCAAUGCUAAAAUAGCGCCAGAAAGUCCUCAAAAGGCAAAUCAAUAACCCACAGUCUAGUAAGAAAGCUGGAAUCGAAUGAAUUAGUUAUUUCCAGAAACAUACGCAAAGAGAGUCAAACUGUAACUUCGAAGCUGCUGAGUACAAUUCCGCAAGCAAAUGUAGACACUAGAAUCACAAGAAAGAAGACAUGGGAAUCAGAUUCUAUUUACAUGAUAUUCCUUGCACUUUCACAUAAACUUCCUCUAGUGUUCCAAGUAAACUAGAAAAAAGAUGGCAUUAAUACACACGUUAUAGGAAUCCAAGAUGUGUAUGGGUGAUAUUUGUUGUAAGUAACCUUGUCCAGCUUGUAAAUACAUUCAUACCACAUAUAGCCAACCUGAAGAAUUUAAGAAAUAAAAGGAAAAAAGCCUCCAUCAAAAACCAAAUAAGCAUAAUGGCAAUAUAGAGAUCUAGAGAUCAGGCAACUUACAAAUAAAGCAAUUGCAACAACACUUGCUUUGAUUGAAAAUUUUCUCUUGGUUUCACAUUCCUCCAAUUUUUCCAUCCAUUUCUCAACCUAAGAUUUAAAACAUUUCAAUGAAAAAGUUAAUUGUGCACAAAGAGAACUAGAUUGAUGAUUGAAAUUUUUUACUUACAUUUGGAUGAUAGUAGGCAUACAUCAUUCCAAUUAUCCAUACAUAGCGAUCCAGACCAGAUCUAAAAUGCCACUCAUGCAAUCGGUGGAGAUCAGGUUUUGCAGGAUCAGUGUACCCUGCCAUUUGAAGAGACAAAAUAACUGAUAUAAGCAAACAACUACAACAUAUCCCAGCAAAGAAGAAUGACUGGCUUUGAAAUAAGUAUAUUAAAAAUGAAGUUCAACUGAAAGUAUACAUAUUUAAAGCAAAGACAUUCCAACUUUAAUGCAAUAAAAAGAAUAAAAAAUAUUGAAGCAUAUCGAAAGGCAUCAGAAAAGGACAUGAAUAUUCUAAGCUGGUUGAUAAACAAAUAAAAAUCAGAAGAAUGAAGUCAGAAGGUUGCAAACCUAAUAGGAUAGCUAGUGGACUCCAGAAUAUUUCAAAAACUCCAGGAAUUUCCCAAAUAAAGAUAACUACAAGAAAGCAUGCAAGAAUUUUCACAGCCAUCACCGAUGGUAUCUCAUUAUACUUGUUGAAAAUCCCAAGAGCUCCAUACACCAUUACGGUGAAAAGCGUGUGCAUUGGGCAGAUGUAGUAAAGCAUGUAGUCAUUGUUGAGAACAAUACAACAAAAUGCCACAAAGAAGUUUAGUCGCCACAUCAUCUGCAUUAAAUAGAAGUUAUAGAAGGAUAAGAGGUUUACUGAUAUGCAUAAAGUGGAUAUAUAGUAUAACCCUUAAUAACUGGAAUGCUGGAAUGGUAUAGCGUAUCACCUGAGCAAAACGUGCUAGGCUAAAGUCCUUUCUGAUAUAAUAGUAUGAGAAGUUGCCAAAUCCCGUCAUCCAAACAUAUGCAGCAAUGAAGACACGUAUUGCAUUAUAUAUCUCCGCCGCAGCAAAAUAAUGGUACAUUAGAAAUAGCACCUGCAAAAAGCCCCUCCAAUAAAAGACAUGUGAAUACAGCUGAAUUUAGUACAGAAUAAGUAAUCUGCAGAGAGCAUGGAUGCCAUGCUACUGCAAACAUAAGCAAUCUCAUAAAUCAGGAAUUGGUGCAUGGGAACAUCAGUGCAGGUCCAAAGACAGAAUACUCAUAUCAAUUAUCAUAAAGCAUUUCAUACGAUAGUUUCACAAUUUAUAGGGAAUAUGCUUAUCAAUAUUAGAACAAAUGAGCAAGAUUAAGAAAAGCCAAUGAACAACUGUUAAGAUUAAAUAUAUGGAUCAAAAUUCAAAUAAUGAUUUAGGUAGCUAUUACCAAACAGAAAAAAGGUACUGCGGCAGAAAGUUAUGACAUUGACCUUUUCCGAGAUUUAAAAAUGAAAUUACGGUAUUGAGGAAAGUAAACACAAAAGGAACAUAAGGAAAUAUAAUCUAAAUACCACCUUUUCAAAAUUAGGUGAUUGGAAGGUGCCUAUGCUUCAGUAGUUACUCAUUCACAGGUUACAAGUUAAACAAUUAACACUUGCCUGCAUCCAUCCUUUCCAUUCUUCAGUCUGAUGCCUACUAAGGUACUGCAUGGUCUUUCCAGAGAAUGCUGAUUUGUCACUAUGCUUCGUCAAAGAAGUCAUUGCAGAAACUAUGAUGAGAAGAGCAUAGAGAAAGAGGAAAAGGUCGCGGUUGUAUUUCUGUACAAGGAAAUACACAUAAGAAAUCAUAUUGAGAAAAACAAAAGAACAAAAAAACUUUUAAUGUUAAUCAACAUAAGAAAGCAAAGUACCGACUCUCAACCUACCAUAAAUGUGAAAAUAUACAGCUACUUUAAACCAUUUAAAGAGGAAAAAAAUUAGCCAUCAAACAUUUCCAACCACCAGAGAAGUAAAUAAUUUCGGACAAUGUAUGGUAAUCCUUUAUUUUGAACUAUAAGCAAAAGGACAUAGUGGUCAAAACCUGCUUAUUAAAGAAGUAUCAAAUAUUUACCCAAACCAGAGGACCCAAGAAAGGAUGCAAGUACAUGGGAAGAAAAAAGGUUGUUUAUCAUUCAACUAAAAGGAAAAUGAGGACAACAAACAAUGAGCUUCAAGGGUAGUGGAAUGCAAAAAGUAAUUGAAGAGACUUUUAAGAGACUAGUAAACCAAAACUAAAGCCUCUUUCUGUCAUUUUGAAGGGGAAAGGAAUUAAGAGAAAACCAGAUGGACAUAGAUAAAAGUAGGAUACCAACAUAACCAGAAAGCACAAAAUAAUAUAACUAUAAAUAAUAAUGAAAAUGAGGACCCUAAUAAGUAUGCAGAUGCAAUAGUAUAAUGUUUAUAACUAACAUUGCUCUCAACCACAGAUGAAAGCAUGAAUUACAAUCAACAACACAACCAGGUAUAAAAGCACCUUGGUAGAUUCACCUAGUAAAUCUGUCCGAUCACAUAUGUAGAAGUACACCAGAAUAGCCCCAAACUCGGCCCUGCAUUAGAUUGCGUAGUCAAAUAUAAGACAAAAACAGAAAGCUGCCAAAAAAAGUGUCUUUCUGUUUAUAACUAACAUUGCUCUCAAAGUGGUUCGGUGUUCCAGAAGGAAAGAGUCUUCCAUGGUCAAAAACCUGGAGUCAUAAAUGGUAAGAUGAGUUUAGAGUACAAUCAUGGAAAACCAUAACAACACUGAAACUUAAAGAAAGCAACCUAAUCAAGUUUGUUCUGAUGGAUGAAGCAUGGAGCUUAGUAGAUGCUGAUCUUGUUAGACCCCCUUCAAGCAAAACAGCCCUGUCAUCUUCUUUAAUUGUCUCCUUUCCUAAUACAACCAGAUUACUAUCUGAAUGGCUGCAAAUGAAACACCGUCAUUAGCAUCAGCAAAUAUUGAAGUCAAUAACUCUAAAGAAUAGUGAUAUAAGCGUAACAAAUUUGUGCACCCGCGCUAACUCCUACUUGAAAUGAUUACUUACGCUUUAGAAAGAGAUGCCGAUUUCUUGUAUUCUAGGAACUCUGAAUAUAUCCAUGCAAUGAAAACUGGGAUAACUCCUAAGAGAAAAGACACCUGUAACAAUUAUAAAAAAAAGGCUUCAUUAAGUAUUUUGGGUAAAACUAGUCAUAGAAGAACAAGUUGAUCAGUUUAAAUAUAUAUAAAAUAUUAUAAAAUAGUAAGAACAAGUGACAUAAGUUAGAAUAGUGGAGUGAAAUAUUCACAUAAUGCAUGAUUAUAGAAGUUUAAAAGAUGAAAAAUAAAAGCCCAAUUUGAAAUAGAUGUUGAAAUAAUUAAAAUGCCACUCCUGCAUUAUAACAAUUGCGCGUAAGUUCUUUUGAUAAAAUAUCAAGUAAAACUUCAUAAACUUCCCAAUCUCAUUCACAGUUUCACUUUGAUUUCCAUUAUGAACACCAGUAUCAUCACAACUAACCAUAAUUCAUCAGAUUCUCCAUACACAUUGUGUCACUCAGUUGUGAGUCAAAUCUUUUCACACAUCAAACCAAGCAAGCCACUUAUGUAAAUCUAGUAACCAUAGAACUUUCAUAGAUUCUUAGUAGAAACAAGAAAUUUAACCCUCAAAAGUCAGAAGUCAGAAGUAUCAUCAUUGUUAAUCUCAAAAGAAAAAGAUAAUUUUCUACAAACAAACACGAGCUUAUGAGUAAGCUCUGAAACUCUAUAGAAAAAAAAUGAGGGGGCCUGAAUCUUAGAUACUUCCUUAAUAACGAAACAAAAUAAACAGAAUCCAAAAUUAGUAUAUAGAAAUCCACAAAUUCAAUAAUUGCAAAAAAAACAACUACAAAUGUUUUCAGCUAAUAAAUCACAGUGUCCAAAUUCAAAAGAUUUAAAAAAAUCUCAAAACUAAAUCUUAACUUAAACAAAAAAAAAUCAAUGAAUCAAUAAAAUUCUAAUUCGAAACCGUACCUGUCCAGGCGUAAUUGGCCCAGAAACCACCAUUUCUUUUCUGGAUCAAACAAUAACCUCCUCCAACUGUGAAAUUUGCAACAGCACCGAAUUAAACCAAUCCUCAAAAAAUGCAAAGUCUAAAUUAAAAGUGAGAAGGAAAAACAAAAGAAGAAAGAAUAGUUACCAAAGAAAGAGAAAACCAAUGAGUAGAAUAGAGAGAUUGUGCUAGGACAUGCUCAUAAAUACAACGCCUAAAACAAAUUUAUGUUUUAAUAAAAUAAUAAAAUAAAGGGCGAAUUGAAUAUUUGUAGACGAAGGAGAUCUCUAACCAGCUUGCUUCAAGAAUAGAGAAAAGAAAGGAAAAAAAAAAAAACUUCAGAUAUGACGUCGUUUUCACUCUCUCAAACGGUUGUUGUUGCCAUGGUUGCUGUUGUUUGCUUGGGUCUCUUGUUGCUAUUUUGCUUUCAGCUUUGUGCGCGUUAAUGUGAUGUGAGAAAAAUAAGAGAGAAAACAUAAAUUAUUUUAAAAAAGAAAAACAGAAAUUUCUAAAAUAAUUAUUUCCAGCAGAUUACAGCUGCUACAGAUAGAAUGUUUCCUUUUUUCUUCUAUAAAAACAGAUUGAAUGUUUAAUUAAAUUAUACAUAAUAAUAGUCCAGUGAGUUAGGAUUAACAUUCUAAUUUAAUUAUCUUUAUGUAUUUUCUAUUAAAGCUUCUUUAGCUCAACUUUGGUAAUAUUGUAAAUUAUUAACAGUGUCAAAAUUUAAGCAUUUUCUAAUUUUUAUAAAAAUUAGUAUAUCCUUUUUUGGUAAGAAAAUUAACGUAUUUUUAUUAAAUUUAAUUAUUCAAUUUAAUAUAAAAAUGAAAAUACAAUGUAUAUUUUAAUUUUAAAAGAUACAAUAAUCUAAUUAUUAAUCUGUCGUUAAAGAAAAUGGAUAUUGGGUCAUUACUUUCUUAUAAUUUUAAGGCAUAAUAAUUUUUUUCGUCCUCCAACUUUAUAAAAAAUUAUUUUAACUCUUCAUUUAAAAUUUCAUUACUUUUAACCCUUGAAUUUACUUUAAAAGUAAUAUUUUUAACUUUUCUGACAUGAAAUACAUAUAAAUUGUCACAUCGAUAACUGUUAGUAUUUCGUUAAUUUUUUAAAAUUUUAAAAAUUCAGAAAGUUUAUAAAACUCGUUUUAAAAAUCAUUAAAAUUAUUUUUAAAAAAUAUAAAAAUUAUUUAAAAAACAUAUUUUAUAUUUUAAAAAUUAAUUAAAUGAUGGCAUGUCAUUCAUUUGGCAGUUCACGUGUUUACCACAUUAGAAAUAUUAAAAAAAGUUAAUUUUGUCAUUUAUUUUAGGGUGAUUUGAUAAUAAAAUGCAAGUUUUAAGAGUUAAAAAAAAGAUGAAAAAUUAAAUGAAAGGCUAAAAUAAUUUUUUUUAUAAAGUUAGAAGAUCAAAUAAUUCAAUAUACCUAAUUUUAAUAUAUUCUGAACGGAGGGUGGACCUGAUGUGAAAACUUAACAUAGACCUUCAUCGUGGGCCAUUAAAAGGCUAAUGAUUUUGCUUUCUUACUUUGAUCGAAGUUUAAUUGAAUUUUGAUUUCGAUUGUUACGGAAUAUCGUCAUUGCAAAGUGAAUCGCACUAAUGUGAUAGACAAUAAUUGAUGACAAGUCAUAUUUUAUUGAUAUAUAAGAGACGUUUGAUUUCAAUUCUCAGCCGUCCAUCAUAAAUACUUUUGAUUUGCAAAAUUGACCCUUAUAAACCUAUGGAAACCUUGUUUUUGACCUUUCUGCAUGUAAGGGUCCGUUUGAUUGCCAGUAAAAUAUUUUCCGUAAAAUGAUUUCUGGAAAAGGUUUUACUUUUCUGUAAAAUGACUUACUGAAAAAUAUUUUCUGGUGUUUGAUUGAAUCUGUGUAAAAUAUUUUCUGCUAUUUGGCAGAUUUCCUGAAAAUAUUUUCCGGAAAAUUUAUUUUUACAUAUAUUAAUAUAUAUUAAUAAAUAUUUAUAUUUUAAAUUAUUUUUACAUAUAUUGCAAUGAUUUAUUUAUAAAUAAAUAAAUAAAAUUAAAUAUAUAAUAAUACUCAAUUAUUAAGCUACAAUAUUAACCGUCAUAAAUUGAAAAUAACCAAAGUCAAAUAAAUUAUUUGUAAUUGUGUUAAAAAAACAAAAAAAAACAAGGGUUGAAUACUUAUAAAUUUAGCUUCCAAACCACAAUUAAAAAAAUACUAAUCUAUGCAUUUAUUUAAACCAUAUAAGAUGUAUUUACCUACCAAUAUGAAACUUUGAAUCUUUUAAACAGAUUCAGCAAGACCAAAAUGUUAAACAAAAGAAAAGACAUAUUCCAAAUCCUUAGUAAAUUGUUAUAGACUGUGUUUGGCGUAACUGCUUAAGUGCAUCUACUAUCAAAUUGCUAGCCACUUACAACUAAAAAAAUGGCAAUGUCUGCUGCCAGGAAGCUUGCUGGGUUCAAAUCAAAACACACAAAAACCAAAACUUAGCCUAAAUAAUCUAAUCAUAAAACACUACUCCGACUGUUAGCGUUGCAUUAACUGAUUCACCAUCUGCUAUCAAAUUGCUAGCCACUUGCACCUUUCUUUAAUAAGACUUUGAUUACUUCCAGAUGGGACCCUUGAACAGUAUAGUGAAGUGGAGUGAAUCCCUUGCGAUUAGUGGCUCUCACUGAAACUCCUGAUGAAAGCAGAGUUCAGACAACCUCUAGAUGUCCUUUCUACGCCGCAAAAUGAAUCGCACCCAUGCCAUCCAUGGCAGCAGCACCAACAUCAACAUUUUGCUUGCAAAGAUAACUCACUACCUGUGCUUGCCUUUUGGAAGGCAAAAACAUAUACAGAUGGAUAUUCUGAACAACCCAAAAGAACAAUGUUGUCACGGGGCAGAAUUGAAGUUAAAUAUCCAGGUAACUAUCAUGAUAUUUGAAGCCAAUAAGAUAACAACCUCAAGACAUAGAUUCAACUUCACAUCAACCUCUAAAAUGCUUCAGACAUAUUUGUGUCCCAAGUAAUAUGAUUUAUCAUAGUAGCUGCAAAAUUCAAAGCAACAUUAAUAGUUACAACAUGGUACCAAAUACUUGCUUUAUAUAGCACAACAUGCAUUCUUAAAUAUUUUGAAAAGAAAAAUCUUCAUAGGCUGUCCAUCUUAAUUCUGUUAUCAAGGAUACAACCGAAUGAAAUCUAUCCAAGCACACACAAAAAACAGGUCGUACCCAAUGCACAAGGAUCUUGGCUAUAAAUAGGGGCAGGUCUAAUGUAUGCUGCCUUCCCCUGUUCACAAAGGUUGUUUCAAGGUUUGAACCCAUAACCAAGCAGAUAGCAAGUCAGGGACGACCUUCAAAAUCUUGCCUAUUAAAACACAAAACUUGUAGCUAUAGUUUGUAUCCAAUUGGGUGAUAAGAGGAUAGCAGCUAUGGACCAAAUGAAAAGUUUAGCCAUAGUCUUUAAAAUCCAAAAGGGCAUACAUUUUAAGUUUAAAAUGAUUGGUUUUCAAACAAUAGGUUUAACACUAUGAAACAAGCAUUUUAGUCCAUCUAAACAACAUCUGUCACUCUAAAUAAAACCAAACCUAUAUUCGCUCAGAGGUAUACAAAUGCCAUAAUAAGUACCUGAAAAAUAGUCAUUUUGGCGUUCCACAACAUCUGAACCUUGAACUGCAUACAAUUUUAGCAACAAGUAUAUACGCAAUUUUCAACAGUCAUCAAACAGAAUAUGAAUAACAGUAACCAUUUUCUUUGUAAUACUUGAAAAAUCUUUCAUUUUCAGGAUUCAGUGAAAAUAGACAUUCUCAUUCUCAUCUAAUAAGCACAAUAGCAAAAAUUAGCAUUUUGAUAUUGAUGUUACUUAUUAAUGUGUAUGCUUCUGAUUUGUGACCAACUAGAAAUCAGCAUGACAGAGCACUGAUGUCUUUCCAUACAGUGUAAUUUUCAUAGAUUAAUCUGUUCAAAUUUUGAGCAUUCUUCACUUUUGCUAUAGAGGCUUCAACGCUAAGAGGAAUCACUAGAUGAUGCAUUUUUUGGAUGACAUAAAAUUUUCAGUAGAACUUAGCAGUGUACUUGCAAAAUAUAAACUCUGCUGACAGGUUCUGAAUGCUAAAUGAGUUCUUUGCAUUUAUUUCCUUUUCUUUUCAUUUUUCCUCUUCACUGUAAGCAAACAUUUUACCCCCACCUUACUUUUACCUUACAGUAUCUAAAAUGUAGGAUCAAAGCUCACCUUGCAAGAAAAUAACUCAACAAUGCAGUCUUCUUUUGUGGGGAUCACUCGCAAGUCAAGUACAGGACUUGCUUCAAAGUUGAAGAGCGCAAGUUUUGGAAGUUUGCACCUGAAGAGCAUCGAAGAACAUAUAUAUAAUCAACAGAUAAAGAAGAUGAAGAUAAAAGGCAUCAAAUUAAGCCCUGAGGUUAGAGCUUUAGAAUGAAUGAGAAACUUGGAAUAAGUCAAUUAAAAAAAAACAGUUCCUUGAUAGCCAAAGCAAAAAAGAGAUUAUGACUGAAUAGAUCAAAUUUCCUUUUUCUUCUCUGACCUCUCUUCUCAAGAUUCAGCCAUAGAAGCUGGAAAAGCACAAGAAAUACAAAGAAUGGCAGAAGGAACUAGACUCAAUACCCAUUCUAGAUUCAACUUGUAACACCCCUUAACCCCGAACCGUCGCCGGAACAGAAUUACGAGGCAUUACCGGACGUAUCGAACGAUUUACAACAAUUCUUAAAUAAAUAACCAAUAUAUUAAAAUAAUUCAUAAAAUUUAUUAGUUUGUUUACCAAAUGACUUCAUUUUUUCAUUUUUUUUUAUAAAAAUUUCGGCAGCAUUUCUGCUUAUUUUUACAUAAAACCCCCUGCAAAUUAAAACCAUAUAGUUCCCAAAUAUCAUCAAUUCAACCAAUUAAUUUCACAUUCACAUUUUCUAUUCUAAAUACUUCUAAUCAAACUCAAUCUACACAAUAUCAAUUUAAAAUUUAACAAUGUACUAAUUAGAUAAAAUAGAUAGACUUCUUUCAUUAAAAUCCAUAACCUUUUAAUACUAACAUUUUUAACCAUUAUAUAAUAAAACAUAAUAACCUUUAUACACAAUCUAUGUACAUGCCACCUUUACCAAAGGAAAAAUACAUCACCAAGUUUUGCCGAAGCCGGGAUUAAUCUGGAUGCUGAACCGGGACCUUUGACUUCUAUUAACCUGCGCACGGAAACAACCGUACGCUGAGUAAUUCAUACUCAGUGGUAUUACCAUAAUUCAAAUUAUAACAAUAAUGUACAUGUAAUGCAUAAAUCGUAUAUACAAUUUAAAUUAAAUAUUUCAACAAUAGCAAUUCAUCAACCAAUAUCGUAUAUCCACAAUUUGAGUUUGAAUAAUUCACGAACCUUAGGUUCAUUUCUCAAUCUCAUUUCACAUUUCAAUUCACAAUUCAACUUUUUCAUAUCAUUUCAAUAGCUCGUUUGACCAACUCGUUCGGUUUAUCAUUUCAUCAUUUACCCUAUUAACAAAACUCGGACUUUGGCGGAUACACGGAUCCAACCAAACACACCAGAAUGGCACCCAGUGCCUCAUCGGAUAGUUCGAAGCAAUAGUUGACACCCAGUGUCUCAUCGGCCAAGCCGAAGAAAGUUGGUACCCAGUACCUCAUCGAAUCUAUCCGAAGAAAUAUAGUGACACCCAGUGUCUCAUCGACUCGAGGUCGAAGUAUCCCUGAACUCUUCCAAUCCUAUGGCAUGCCAACUAUAUCCGACUCAGCCCGACUAGUUAAUAGGGUAUUUAAAUCACAUAUAUUCUCAAUUCAAUUACAAUUUUUCACAUUUUCAAUUCAAUCAUUUUUCCACCUUUCAAUCAAUAAUUAUUUCACAACUUCACACAUUUUCACAACUCAAUACAUUUCCAUACAACUUAAUACCAUUCACAAUUCGAUUCAAAUUCAUUUCCCGCUUUCAAUCAACAAACAAUUUAAAUAUUAUUUCAUAUCAACUAUUCAAUUUAAUUCCCACUCAUAAUAAUAAUAAUAAUACUAAUAAUAAUACUAAUACUAAUAUUAAUACUUACCUCACAUUUCAUUUACUAGACACAUAAAUUAAAAUUUAACAUUAAAAAAUAAAUAAUUUGAAUUAUAGUAAUACAAACCGUAAUUUUCUCGAGUUUACUCCUCGAUAAUCUUCUCUUUUCCCUUCCGUGCCGACGCUUCUGGUUCUUUGCUAGCUACGAAAAUGAUAAUAAUUUAUACUAUUAAUUUCAGCACUAAUUAUGAUAAUAAUUAAAUUUCUAUUCAAUUUCUUCCUUAUUCUCAAUUUAAUCCUAACUAAAUUCACUUACUUUCCUAAUUCAAUUCACACUCUAUUUCUAUUCAAAUUUCAUCCAAACUAAAAUUUAACUAUCACAAUUUCAGCAUAUUUUGGUAAUUUCGAAUUUCCCUCAAUUUAGUCCCUAAAACAUAAAACUUAUAGUUUCUUUUACAAUUUAAUCCCUUUUUCAAUUCUAACUUAAAAUUCCUUCAAGUUAAUCCCUAAUUCAUCUCUUUUGUUCGACAUAAACUAUACUUGAAAACCUAUGAACUUACAAAAUAUCAACUUAAUUCCAUCAAAACUUUGUUUUAAAGCUUUUAGAACAUUAGAAUUAAGAGGAAAGGGCUAAUUUGACUUACCAAAUUAAAUUCAAGCUUCAAAAACCAUAUUUUCCCUUUUUCUUUUUCUUUCUUUCUUUCUCCCCUGUUUCGUCUCUUCCUCUGUUCCUUUGUUCUUUCUAUUCUGUUUCUUUUCUGUUUUGUUUCUUUCUUUUUCUUUUUAUUUCCUUUUAUUUAAUUACUUUAAUAUAAUAAUAAUUAAAACAAAUAUCUACUUAGUAAUUAAUAAAAAUAUUACAAAUGUAUGUAUUUUAUUAAUACACUUGUAUUAAAUUAUCACCAUACAUUUGUCUUUAUUUAAUUUAUUUCUUAAUAUAAUAUUUAUAAUGUAAUUAAUUUAAUAAUAUACUUUAUAAUUAAUUUAUAUAUUUAUAUAAAUAAUAAUAUAAAAAUCUAAGAUUUUUACAAUGUUAUGUCGCCUCAACUUCCAAAUGUGGCUUAAUUGUCCAUUUGGUCCCUAUUAUUUUCCUUUAAUCUAUAAUUAUGCUUUCACUCUUUAUUCAAUUUAAUUCUUUUUACUAAUUACUCAUAAUUAAACUAAAUUCACCUAUCUAAAACUUAAUUAAACACACAACUAGUCUCGUAAAUAUUUCUAAUAAUUAUUUUCGGACUCAAUUUACUAGGACGGAGGCCCGAUAUUAUAAUUUUCCGAUGCCCAUGAAUUUUGGGUCAUUACACAACUGGACACACUUAAGGAAUCUAAUAACCAGAAUUAGAGAGAGAAAAUUCUGUAUUAUAUUAAACAAAAAUUAGAGAGAAAAGGAAGGAAAACAGAAUGCAGAGGUAAAAUAUUAGAGAAAUAUGCAGAUACCUCGAGGAGAUUAGAGAUGAAUUUUUCUCGACUGUGGACCUUAAUUUUUUAAGGUUUCUUCAAAAUACAGAGGUAAGGCUGACGGUCGAGCGACAGAGACGACGAUGCUGAGAUGGUGAGGUGAGGCCAACGAACGGAGAUGAGGAGCCGAAGGAAGAUACAGAAAUGAAUCAAAGAACAACAUGACAGAUCACAUCUACAUUGAGGAGGACGUGACGGUCAGACGACGAGAGCUUCGAUUGGGGGGAAUUGAGUUUUUCUUGGGCAUGGGAACAACCGAUCAAGGAUGGGGGAAGGGGAAGGGGAAGGGGAAGGGAAAUGGAAGAUUUGUGUUCUUUCUAAUUUUCCUGAAAAUGUCUUACCGAAUUAGAAACGGUAAGACAUUUUCCAAAAUUAACACCUUCUUUUCCCGUGUUUUGUAAUUGGUUUUACAGUAUGAAAAUAUUUUCAGCCAAUCAAACACCGAAAAUUUCAGAAAAUUUUACACCAAUCAAACGGACCCUAAAAGUGCAUAUUAAGGAACCCACUCUUCUUUUUCGAUCAAUUGAUUAACUUGAGAAAUUACCUCACUUUGGUCUAUAAGAAAAUUAAAUUUCAUCUCCAGAUUAAUUCAUAAAGUGAUACGUUUCAGAAUAUAAUUUUUAAAAAAAAUGAAUAUAUGAUCAUUCUAAAUUUUAUUUGCGAAAUUAAAAAUAUAUAUCAAAUCAAACCUUGGAAAUUUCUGUUUUUUUUUUUCUGUUCCUUUUGUUUGGUAUGGAGUUAGAGCUGUAGUUGCAGGCUGAAAAUGAUGGGCAGAUGCUUUAGCUUGACCCAGUUAGAUAGUCUAUUAAUCUUUCUUUUGAAUCUAAUCUUCAUUAUAAUCUCUAAAUGAAUUGUUGGAAAAGCUGUGGAACUUUUUGGGGAAGAAAUAAUUUGUACAAGUGUAAAUAUAUAUAUAAGUAAAAUAAAAUUAUUAACAUCGUAAAGCAAUUUGACCUAAAAUUCACACGUGCAUUAUCUACAUAUGAUAAUAUUCAAAUAUAAUAGUAUCAAAAUUAUAUUAAUGAAAAGUUAUGAAAAGAUUUUUAAGAUUGUAAAUUUGUAAUAUAGUAUAUCAUCACCAACCCAAAUUAUCCUGCUAAUGUAAAUCAAAUUUAAAAUAUUGAUUGCCCUUUAAUUUUCUUCUUGAAAUUUGGUGAAAUACAAUGUUCCCCACAAUUCUCUCUUACUCCUGUAAAUUACUCAUUAAAAUGGCCCACUGUUAAAUUAAUUUGAAUUUUUAAAGUUUAUUUCUUUCUUUCUUUCAACAAGUCUGUAUUAGGAGCAAAAUGUUAAUUCUGACUCUUGAUCCAUAUAUAUAAUUUAUAAUUACUAGAUUGGUUGGAAUUAAUUAGGGAUAGUCAUCAUUAUUACAAACAAUCUGUGUAAAUCAACUGUUUAUUUUAUUACAUGCUAAGAAGCCAUCGAGAUACCUCCUUCAGAAACUAGUAACGACAACAAUAAUAGCAAAAAGAAAACAACCGUAUUAGUAUUUCAAGUCGAUAUCAAAUAUUAUUUUUAUUAGUUUAUAAUUGAUUUCUUUUUUCUAUUAUAUAUAAAAAAACCAUAUUUUUACCCAAAAAAAUAUUAUUUAAUUAACCCUUUAAUUUAUAUUAAUUUGGAGUACUGUUGACUUAUUUAUGCUCGAUGUUCAUACUUGAAUUUGAAUUUGGGUAAGUAUUCAGUAGAUAUGAAUUUUAGUUAACUAGUUUAGUGACUGUUUUUCUUGGAUUAGUGUGUAGGCCAAAAACCACCUUAUUCACUGGAUUAAGCAUUUUUAUAUUAUUUGACUGCAUAUUGAAUUAUAUAUUCAACGCUGUUCAAGUUAGGGAGCUGAGCUGAAGGAGGAGCAGGACCAUAUUUGUUUUAUUUUAUUUAAGCUAUAUUUUUGGUGAUCUCAACACGAAACCAAGUUUCUAAUAAUUUCGUUCAAGACUUGACUGAAACGUGGCUUCUACGUCUCUCAAGUCAAAUUUAUAACAACAUCAUAAAUGAUAGGCACUUACAUUAAUUUCAAUUAAUUAACUACUCCAUGCUAUAGGAAUAAAUUUAUAAUUAAAAUAUUGAGGAGAAGAAUCUAUCAAAUUAAGGGGACGUUAGGUCAUUUGCCAUGAAAAUUUUAAAUCUAAUAAUUCAUAGUAUAUAGAAAGUUUGAUAUCUUUAAUUCAAUUGGUGCUCUAAGAGUUUAAAAACUGUAAAUUCAAACAUGCUCUACUAAUUCAUUUUAUUAGUACCAUCUGAUGGUUUCAUAUUAAUUAUUCAUUUCAUGUUACAUGCGGUGUUCAAAAUUAGGUUUUCACUAUAAGCCACUUUUUAUUUGUAUAUAUAUGGUUUAGGACUAGGAUCCAGCCUUAUAAAGACAGGAUGAUGACUCAUAACUUUCUCAUUCAGCUCAACUUUAGUGGUUGUUUUUUUCUCCUGCUGCUUAAUUAAUUAAUUAGCUCUUAAUUUCUGAGUAGAGUUCAGAUUAUAAGCUAGAUAGCCAGCUCAAGAAAAGUUUGUAGUAAAGGAAAUUUUAAGGUAUAUGUAAUGCUCAAAUUCUUCACUAAAAAUGCCAUCAAGGAUAAUGAUAUAUAAUACAACUACGCAUAUAAAAUGCAGUUUAAUUAAUCCAGUAUUACAAGCCUGCAAAUCCUCUUAAUACUAGGUUUCUUGUUCUUCAAAAAUCAACCAUAUUAUGUCUGACCUUCACCUCCACAUCCCCCCUAUCAAAGAAGCUUUUACCUCUAAAUGUUUGUUACAGACUCAAAACCAAGUUUCAAGAAGAAAAAAAAGAAGAAGAAAUCCUACUCCCCAUCUAGUCCUUGAAUGUUAGGCCUUUCGAGACCAGUAAUUGAAUAAUAAUUCAUAGGCUCUAGAGAGAAGUUCAAUUUGAUGAAAAAGUAGUUAAAUCCUAAAUAUAUAAUAUAAAUAUGUACACACACAAGGCGUAAAAAGAUGAUGUAAUUAAGCGAGUGGAGACUCAUGGUUCAUGUUUAAGGAACGUGGAAGGAACCAUGUCUUGAAGAAGUCCAUAGUCAGGAACCUGGUGUUGAUGGACGUACUGAUGAAAAGGGCUAAAGUUUUCGGCAAACAUUGAACCAGCGGGUGCUUGGUUAUUCAUCUGAUGAUGAUAGUUAGGCAUCUGCAUGAGCAACUCGUGCGGGAAGCUUGGUCUCCCCAGUGGCGAUGGGGUUAACAUGGAAGGUGGGAACAUGGAAGGUGGGAACAACCCAGCUGCGCUUCCUCUCAGUGUUGUCGGAAGUGGGUGGUUGUGUUGACCUUCGUAUGUUGUGAUCACAGUGGACGGAUCCUGGAAUGACCUCUCUACUCUUUUCUUCACCGUGCACUUCUGAGUAGUGCACCUGUAGUAGCUUCUGCAAUGAUAAACAGAAAUGUAUCCCUUACAUAAUGAUAAAGAAGCUGGAUAAAUUUUCACCAGUGGAAGCACGAGUUGGUGUUUGUUUCCCGAGAAAAUCUAAUCAUAUUCACACACAUACAUACAUAUUAUUUAAGCCUACUUUAUAGCUUUCAAAGACAAAUACCUAACGGCUAAACCCUCAAGUUAUUACGUACAGAUUAAGUUUCUAUAUUGACGGAUCAUCUAGGUGCAAGUCAAAAGAAGGGGGCGAGAAGAUGUAAUGCAAGAUCAAGGUUUCAGACACAAUUUCGCAAGUAGUUUCUUUAGUUGAUUGUCUAAAAGAUAAGAUUAUUUUCAACAUAUGUGUUUGGUUGUAGAUUAAGAAAACGAAAGAACCAAACCUCGGGUAUGGACUGUUUUUCACAGCUUUUUGUCCAUAUUUUCUCCAUCUAUACCCGUCUUCUAACUGAUCAACUUCACUUUUAGUUACGAAAGCAAAUCGUGGUUCUCUUUGCUUCUUCUCCCCUUUCAUUUUCGCUUUGUUUCUAUUAGAUACAAUAAACACAACCAGUUACAACCUCAUAAUUUGUUACCAAUAAUAUUAUGAAAAAGAAGAAAAAAAAAAAAGAAAAGAAACUUAGUUCGUUUACCCUUUCUUUGAGCUUUCACCGCCAUCGUCCGAUCCUUUUGGCUGCCCAUCUUUCUUACUCUUGUCUGAAUCUUCUUCGCAACCAGCCUCACUUGAUGAAGAAGAAACAGAAGAAUUAAGAGUCACCGUAACUUCACCGGUAUUGCCUCCUAAUUCAUCCGCCCCAACGUGCUGCUUCAUCAUUGUCCGAUUGCCGCCUUCGACGGAAGAAAACACUUCCGACGACGUAGGUGACAGACCGAAAGCUUUCUCAAGUGAACCGUAGUCCAUGGAAGUACUGUGUAAGCAAUCGGUGAAGCUCAUGUAGGAAGGAUCAAUGGAGGACGAUGAAACCCUGUACAUGUGAUCAGUUUCACCACCAUAACUUUGCUGAUCAUGAUCAAUAUUGUUGAAUGCACCCCCAUGGUAGUAAAAGUCUCUGAAUCCAUGAUCCGACAUGGAGAGAUCGAUCAAGAAGACGAAUAACAAAAGAAUCAAGGGAAAAAAAGUUGGAAGGGAUAGGAGAGAGCUGGGGUCUGAAAUAUUUUAUGGUUUUGGACUUUCAGGGUUUCAGGACAUCUCUUUAUGUUGUUUGAGUCAUAUAAAUACAGACAUAUAGACAUUUCAGCCAAUAUACAUGUAAAAGUCGUGAUGAAAAGAUAUAGAGAUAGAAAGCACUGUAUAAAAGAAGGUUUGACAAAACACCUUCCAAUAGGAAGAGCAAAAAGUGGCUUCUAGUAUGGAAACAUUUCCAGUCCAUACUUGGCAUUCCCUGACCCACACUUUGUAGUCACCCCCCUUAAUUAGGUCUUAGCCCUUCUUUUUUCCUAAACUCUCAUCUGCCGGACUGUGUGCGAAUAUAUAUUUUCUAAAAAGUUGGUUUAUAUACAUUAUCUGUAAAUUUAAUUUGGUUUACAAUAAAUUUCUAAUUUUGUAGUACAAUUUUGUACAAUAAUAAAAGAAGGUGAAAAUUAAAUGAGAAAAAAGAAAGCAUGAAAUUUGGGUUUUUUUGGACAAACAAAAUAAAAGGGUUAAUUAUUGUUUAAUAAUAUUAAAUUACCGGUUAUAAAUUAAGAAAUCUAAAAAUGUUUGAAGUCUGCACUGGGGAAACAAUUUAUCAUCUAGGAGUUCAACCUGACUCGCGUAAGGAAAAGAGGAUAAAAGAUUAAAAAGGAAAAAGGAAGGAGAGUGGGAGAACGCGCUAGAAAGGAGCGUGGGGAUGCGGAGGAGAAGUCAGCGAAGAAUACCAGUAAGGGGUUACAAUCAAGGGAUGCCUUUUUAGGGGACGAUGAAAAAGAGGACCCAAAGAGAAAAUAAAACGGUCAAACAUUCAAACUUGAAGAACUAUUAAUAGUUUUUUUGGAAUAUUAGGCAUACACGUGGCAUUAUUGGCACCGGCAUUUGACCGUAGCAAAACCAUCAUCCGGCACGUGGGGGAAACCUUUUUGCUGCUUCUGCUUAUGCCUACCCUAACGUCACCCCACACCUUAUUUCCCUUUUUACCCUUGCUUUCCGUUUUGGCCCCCACCCUUUCGCCUAGUCUCCCACGUUUCAAUCCCAAAUGCCUUGGGUAGUUCUUCAUACAAAUUUUUUUUAGCAACAAAAACGUCAUGCCUACUUUAGAAUUUAUUUCUCCAAUAAUUUGAUAAAAUUUAUAUUUAAGAUUUGAACUUCGAAAUCAAUAAUUACUUAGAUUCAUCUGGAUUUGUUAAUUUUAUUAUUGGAUUUUUUUUUUAUAAAAUUGAAGUUUAUCAGCCUCCAUGCCGUCCGUUGAAAUCAGGUGUUAGAGUGGAUCAAAUCCAAAACUGGCUUUGAAGGUGGAGGAAUUAAUGUUGUGUUGCCGGAUAAGAAUAAUGGUAUUUAUUAAGAGUUGUUGCAAAUUUGUCUUCCAAGUCUGCCAAUUUAUGUAUUUACCCUAUUUAGUAUCAUGAUCAAUUAUAUCUAAUUCAAAAAUAUAUCAUAUCUAUUUUAAUUUUUAAUCUUUAUAUUUUCUUACCAAUUUGGUCCUCCUUCUUUUUCUAAUUAAAUUUAACCAUUAAUCUUUUAAGAAGAGUUAAAUCAUUUUUUUCAAUUAAAACAUUAAUUUUUAAGUAUGUUAGCGUGAUAACCAUUAACCUGUGUAGCAAUCUACGUAGCAUUAUUAUUUUUAUGUUUAAAAUUCAAAAAAUUAUAAAAAGUUUAUAAAACUUAAAAAUAAAAAUAGCAUGAAAUAUAUAUUAAAAAAUUUGACAUUUUAACCAAUAUUUUCAUAAAAAAAUAUAAAUUAGUUAUUUUAGUAAAAAAUUCGUUUUAUUUUUUUGGUGUGUUAUACUGAUAUGAUUGCACUGCCAAGAAGUACUAAAAGUAGUUCAGCGGUAAUUGAUUCUAUCGAUGUUUACUAAUAGCUACUUUUUGAUUUGAAGCCAAAAUCAUCCGCAUUUCCAACUUCCUUCUUCUAUUUCAUACGUUAUACUAUUUAACUCAAUCGUCUUUCUAUUCAUCCAAGACCGAUUGAAAUUUUUUAUUUAAAAUCCAAACCAUGAUAUUUUAAAUGUAAUUAAGAUUGAAAUGAAGUAAGAAAUAAGUGUGUCUUUUAAAAUAUAUAUUAUGAUUUCUUUACAAAAAAAAAUAUUUUAACUUUUCAGUUAAAAUUUUAAAAAUUAAAUAUAUUAAAUGGAUGAUAAAUGUUAUAACCUACUUGGUAAGUAAAUAAAUUUUAAGCCGUGGUAAAUUCUGCAAAAUAAGAGAUAUUUAAGAUUUGUCGUGAGAAAUUUAUUUGUUAAAAUACAAUACAACAAAAACUUUAUCUUGUUUUAUUUAGGAAGUGUUUGGAAAGCUAUCUGAUAAUUGAAUCCAAGUGUAAUUGUUUAUAAUUACACAAAAGUGACAUGUUUGAGUAAUUGGAAUGGGUGAGUCUCGCCAAUUUGGGUAUACUUAGAGCACCCUAAUUAUAUUUUUCAAUUAUUAAAGGAGAGUGAGAAUUAAAGUAAUUAUACACUUAGUUAGACCCAAUUUAACUUAGUUUUUUUUAUAUAUAAGUUAUAAAAAUUAUAUUAUAAAGAUAAACACAUAUGAGUGUUUGAGAUGAUUAUGACAACAUAUAUAUAUAUAUAUAUUACAAAUCCUAAAAAAUUAUUAUAAAAAUAAAUUGUGUAUUUUAUAAAGUUAAAAUAAAAAAUAUUAUUUAAAUCCUAAAAUUUUUAAAAUUAUGACCAAAUUUAUUAUAAAAAAUAAUAUAUGUGUUAUGAAAGUGUUAUAUUAUAUUUACUUUUUUUCUAUCUCAUGCAAUGCAUGGAUUACUCAUAUGUUUUAUAAAAUUAUUAAUUAAUAUUUAAUAGUCACAAUCAUUAAAAAAAUACUUUAAAAUUGUGUAAUUUAUUUAAAUUUUGAUAAGAUAUUUUUAUUUGGUUAUUAAAAAAAUUAUAAACAACAUUUUGAAUUUUAAAAACUUGUAAAAUUAUUUUAAAAAUAAUAUUUCAAAUUUCUGAAACUUUUAAAUGAAAAAAACUUUUGAUAAAUUAUUUUUAUAUUGUAUUUAAAAAUAAUUUUACUUUUUAGCGUUAAAUAUAAAAUAGUUUACAAAAGUAUAAAAUCAUUUUUAAAUACAUAUAACGUAAAAAAAAUAAGGAAAGGAAAUAACUUACAUUAUAAAAGUGUUAUAUUAUAUUUAUUUAUAAAAAUUUAUAAUUAAAAAUAUAGAUAUAACUUAUUUAUGUAUUCAUAUUAUGUAUUAUAAAAAUAAUAUAUUUAUCCAUAAAUAAAUAUUAUGGUUGUUUUUAUAGUAACUUAUUUAUAUAAAAAAAUAACAUUCUAAAGUUAUGGAAAUUAUAUUACUUACCAGAAAUGUUGUGAAAGAUUUUGACCAUUUAUAAAAUCUUUUUUUACAAAGGUUAUAUAUUAUAAAUUUUAUAUUGUUUUUAACUUAAAUUACAUAGUAUAAAAAGAGAUAUAAUUUACUCUAUGUCUUUCUCUAAAUUAGGUUUAUAUAUGUCUUUACAAUUAAAGUUAUAGACUAUUUGAAUUAUGAACCCUGAUAUUAUAAGAUCAAUGCUAAUUAUGCAAAUAUAAAAUGUUUUAUUGUAUCAUUUCAUGGGGUAUGAUAUCAUUUAAAAGAAUGUUGCCAAACAGAAACACCAUACCAUAGACAACUUGCGAGAACUCUCUAAUUUUAGACAUUCAGAACUUCAAAAUAUGGUUGAUAAGACAUUUUGUUGUUUUAAAAAAAAUCUCAUAUUAACAGUAUUACCUUAGUAUAACAUAAAAAAAUAAAGUUGGAUCAUAUUAGCAUAUUGCAUAUUUUAUAACUUCAAUCAUAAGUGGAAUUGAAAUAAUCCAUACUUCGAAUAGUACAUGGAAGAAUGAGAUCUUAAUAAUUUUAGUGACGUUGAUUCAAAUUCAAAUGAUGGUGAACUUAGUCAGUAACCAAUAGAUAAAUAUAAUAAGCAUAUGUUCAAUAUUAAAGAGGGAACAACUCAAUAAAUAUGUAUUGAAACAAUUAGAUAGAAUUGCAUAAGAGGUUUAUUUUUCAUGUUAUUUUUAUUAGUAUUCGUACUGCCAACUACUUUUUUAGAUUAACAUAAUACGUAUGAUGAUUUUAUUUAAAUUUUUAUUAUUUUUUAGAAAUUAUUUUUAUCAUACUAAUCAUUUUUUUGCAGUAAUUAGCCAUUUUUAAUAAUAUAAAUUAUGUAACUUUGUACUUCAAAUUGUACUAGCAAGCAUGACAUUGGGAGCUAUGAUGUAAUUACACCUGGUCAUCUAAACAUAUUUAGGAAAUUACAAUUCGUUGUAAUUACAAGAGAGUAUAAUUAUUACCCUAAUAAUUACACUUUCAUUUAAAUACUGUGUGAAUGUUAAAAAUUAAAUAUAAAAUUUAAAAAUUAAAAAAUAUUAUAAUACUAUUAGUUAAUUUUAAAAACAAUAAAAUUAGAAUUUUGUUAACUCAAUCGAUAUCCGCUUUAACUUGUUGCAUCAAAUUUAGUCGGUGAUUUAUAUAAAUAGAGACAAAUAAUAUAAAAAACGUAAAAUAGUCUUGAAUUGAAUGACGCAAACUAUUUAAAAUAUAAAACGUGAAAUUUUUAAUAAGUUCGUGACAUUGGAUUAAAUUAAUCAUUUUACCAUUAAAUAGGUAAUUUUAAUUUUAUAUUGUUGAAAAGAAUUAAAUAAGAACAAUUUAGAAUAGGGAUAACAUUUAUUAUUUAAAAAAAACGACAUGAUAUAUAUUUUUCAUUUAAAUUUAACUCCAAACAAAAUAUUCCAUCUAUAGAAUCAUAAAAAUGUUUUCAAAAUAUAACUUUGUUAAACAGUAAAUGAUAAAUUCAUAAAUUGUAAAUAUUAACUCUGUUGAAAUUGGCAAGGUAUUUGAACUGGAUUGGUGGUCUAACUGUUAGAGCACCAGUUCUUGGUUCGAUUGGUUUGUCCAGUCCAAUUGAAUAAAUUAUUAAACAAAUCAAAAAAAAUAAUGAAGAAAACUAGUUCAACCGUUUCGAUAGGUUAGUUCAAGCAAUUCAUGGAUCAAUCAAUCCAACCCUUUUUUUGGGCCGGUAUCUUAAUCAGUUCUUUAUUUAAUUGGUCUGGCUUAAAUAUAAAAAUUGUGAAAAUUAAUCUUAUUUGAUAUGUUUUAAUAAUAUAGAGACUAAAUUAAUAGAGGAGAUACAUUUAAAUUCAAUCCUAUAAUUGAGGAACCUACCACCUACAUUUACAAAAUAUAAAUGAUAUUUCUGUAUUGGCUAGAAAGGAAUCUGAUAUAAAACUUACAUAAGUUGUAAUACUUUUAAGUAAUAAAUAUAUAUAUAUAAAAAAUACAACUGUAGAAAUACCUAUUUCUUUUGUCUAGAUCGCCAUAAGCUUUUUCAAAUUUGAAACUUAGCUUAUGUAAUUUUAUAUUUAAGAAUUCAGUUCGUUUAUCUUUUAGAUUUUAAUUGUAAAAUUUAAGUUAUUACAAUAUUAUUUUCUAAUUAUGUGGUUAUUAAAUAAAUACUUUUUUAUUUUAAAUUGUCACACUAAUAAAUUUAACGGUAUUAGUAAAUAGACUUAAAUUUUAAAAUAUGAAAAAUAGAAUGAUAUAAUUCUUAAAAAUUAAAUUUCAAAUUCGAGGAGAGUAGUCCCUCGACGCUUUCUUUCCUUUCCUUGAUCCUAAACAAUAACAUUUCAUGGCCUAAUCUGGAGGGUUUUUAUUAAUGCAUUAGAUACAUAAUACAUACAUUAUGUAGGAUAUUAUAAUAAACUAAAACUGGAAAGUGAAAAACGACAGCACUGAAAUUACUACACGACAACCCAAACUCACCAGUUUGCCAAAGAAUUAGUCAGAAACAUCAAGCUUUGAAAACAAAAAGGAUCAAAUGCCAUAAAGGUUGCUUUAACAUGUAAAUUACUUGUUUUGUUCUACAUUUUGAUCCCAUCACUUUAACACCACUCAAACAAAGAAAAGACACCUGUGUGCAUGCAUCUUCGUAUGUAGUAAUAAAACUAUACUCGGGCAAAAUGAAAAUAGUCAAUUAGAAAAAAAAAUUAAACCACAAAAUUAUUUAUAAAUAGUACUUAUAAUAAACUAAUUAAAAGCUUUGUCUUAUUCGUAAGUGAAAGCUAUAGAAUAAGUUAAUGGAGCCGUAAUUUGUGGCUAAUUGUUUGCUUAAACUUGAACCUUGAUAACAUGUCAUUGUCAUAGCUUUUGAUUUAUUACAAGUCAAAUUAUUCACUUGGUUCCAUCUAAUUCAAAGCCGAUGUAAGAUUAAGUUUUUGAUAAUAAUAAAAAUUUAAUUUCAAAUUUAAUUUAAUUCUACUCAUAAACAACUCCAAUAACGUAAAGUAUUUCAUCAAAUAAUUUAUUAAUUAUAAUAAGUUAUAUUUUGAUUAAAACCAAGUUGUCUAGAAAACUAGACCAUUGACUCCUCCUUUGGGUUUUUUUUUAAUGAAAUAAUUAAUUGAUUAUAUCAAUCAAAUAUUCAAAGGGCAAAGGUCCAUUUUCUAUCUAAUAUGGAAUGACAUAAAUCUACCCACUUCUUAAAUGUGUUAGUUGUUGAGUGACAAUUUAUAUUAUUUCUUUUUAAUUUGAUGAUAUCACGAAAUAAUAAUGACUAGCUUAGAGGAAGUUACCCAUCCAUGACAUGACACGGCAUCAACCAAAGUUCCAAAUUUUUUUAAUACAUGACACGACAUCAACCAAAGUUCCAAAUUUUUUUAAUCAGUCUUACCAUGUAGAAAAUCACCACCAGUGCAAAAUCCAUCCACUUCAUUACAUUUAAAAUUAAAAGAGAGAAAAAACACUAAUGGUGCGUAUAGAUGUACGAUACUUUUAUUUACAAUUAGUAUAAAAAUAGUGGUGACACUAAGAUUAGAUACAGUAGCAUGAGACAAAAAAAGCUAAACACACCGUACCACACCUUCAAAUCCACCUUAAAUUUGAUUAAUAAAUUUAUACAAAUAAUUUGAGAAUUCUAUCUUUUUAGAAUCCAAUAUAAUUUAUUUGGAAUUUCAAAAUUUUUAAAAAAUAUUUUAACUCAUCAAGAUGUUAGCUUUAUUUAUGCCAUAUACGUAGAUUGUCAUGUGUAUAUUACGUAAGCAAUUAAUUAAUUUUUUAAAUUUUAAAAACUCAAAAAAUAUAAAAAUUACUAAAAAAUUGAAACUUAUUAAAGAGCCUAAAAAAUAUUUUUAAUAUUUUUAUUUUUUUAAAAAUUAAUUAAUUGCUAACGUAGUCUACACAUUGACUGUCACGUGUAUGCCACAAUACUAAAGUUAACAUACGUUAAAUUUUCUAUCCAUUUUGGGUAAUUUGAAAAACAAUUCAAAUUCAAAUGUUAAAAGAGACGAAAAUUUAUAUGAAACGUUAAAAAUAAUAUUUUUUUUAUAAAGUCAGAGAGUCAAAUAAUUCAUUAAAUAAUUAUUUUAAUUAUAAUUGUAAUCUUAAACUAAAUCAAAAUAAAUUUAGAUAAAACUUAUAUAUUAAUGAGAUUUUGUUCGUAAUAAAUAUAAAGAGAACUUAUAUAUAAUUUACAUAAAGAAUUACUCCAACAUGUAGUCUUAAAAUUUUCAAAAUUUUAGGAUUAGUUUGGUUUUUAAAAAAAUAAAAAUAUGUAAAAUUAGAAGAAAAAAAAUAUUUUCAUCAUUUUCAUUAAACAUGUUCUGGAAAAAUGGAAAUGAUGAAAACCAUUUAAAAAAAGAAAAUACCUCUUAUUUAUCCUUCUUCAAAUCCGUUUUGAACUUUCUUCUUACAAAAAAAGUGGCUACAAGCUUAAUAGCCUAACAUUACAUUGGAGCACAACUUGAUGCAGGCUGAACUAGAUAUUAAAUAAAAAUAGUAAUUUUUUUAAAUAAAAAAAUAUUGAUAAGUUUAAAAUGGGCUUAAGUUAAUCAUUUACAAAUAUGAAUAGAUUUGGAUAAAAUUACAAGCUCAUAUUUUAAUCCAAUUAAGGGUCUGUUUGUUUACAUGUAAAAGAUUUUACGGUAAAUGCUUUCUGUAUUUUUUGUGUUUGUUUCACAGAAAACAACUUGGUCAACGGAAAAUAACUUAUAGAUCAACGUAAAAUAAGCUUUUUUUCUUGUAAAAUGGACUUACCCGUAAGUCAUCUUCCGGAAAAAAGUUCAUCUACAAGUAAUUUUAUUUUAUAUAAAAAUUAACUUAAAUCAAGCUUAAUAUUAUGAUAUUGAUAAUAAAUUUUAUUUUUAUUUUUAAAAUAUUAAUAUAAAAUAUUAUAUUUUAUAAUAUUAUUAAACAUACAUAUUUAAUUAUUUAUAUUUAGUCGUAUAAUAAAUUAUUUAAUAUUUCAAUUUUAUUUUUAAAAAUAAUAAUUUUAAAUAAUAUUCUUCACAUAUUAUUGAAAACGUUUAAUAUUAAUAUUUUAAUAACAAAUAUUUAUUACAAUUAUAAAUAUAUUAAUAAUAAAUGCUUUGUAGUAUAAAGGUUAAAACAUGUCAUGAGUCUAUAUGCUAUUCACUAAUUUGCAAUUUAGUCUCUAUACAUUUAUUUUUAAGAAUUUAGUCUCUCUAUUUUUCAGAUUUGAAAAUCAAGUCCAAUUGUUGACAUUGUUAAUUUUCUUUUGUCAAAAUUUUAAAUAAAAAAUACUCAAUUGGUAGUCAUAUAACUAAAAGAUGGAGUUGUAAUGAACCUAAAUUUAACAAAAUAUUUUUAAUAUAUGCAAAAACAAUGCAAAAUAUAAAUUUAUAGAUAUAAAAUAAAUUUAAAUGAACAAUGGAAAGAUAAGAAAAUCUCAAACGUAUGUUUGUUUUGUUAAAAACAACUUUUGUAAAAUAUUUUUAAGAAAUCUGUCAAACACUAGAAAUUAUUAACUUUUACAGGAAAGUAAAUUAUUUUACAAAAAUCAUUUUUCGGAAGUUAUUUUUUGAUAAACAUAAAGUGUGUUAAUAUCACACGUAAAUUCGACCCGAACUUAGAUUGGCCCAUUAACACCUGUAUCUCCAACCCAAACCAUGAUUUUAAAUAUAAAAAAAAACAAUAGUAAACAAAUAGCUUUUCAAACUAAAUCCUGUUUUUAAUUCGAGAUUUUAACAGAAACAGAAAAAUUAAAAAUUUGGUUGAAAUUACUUUUUAUCCUCGUUAAAGAAAUGUAAUAUAUCUUCUAUUUUAUAAAAUUAUAUUUGAAAUAAUUAUUUUAAUUUUUUAAAAAGAAAUAAUAAAUAUUAUCAAAAUUUUCAAAAACACAAAUUGUGGAGAAAUUAUCAGAGUGUGCAACCAAAACGAACAGUUUCGUAUUUCAGUUAAAAGAACAAAAUACUAAAUUGAAAGUUGAAUUUCUUUGCUCAUUUUCAACUAUAAAUGGUCAAAGGAUUAAUAUUAUAUGGUAUCUCAUGUCAAAAAAAAUUAUGAAUGCAUAUAUGGUUUGGUAAUUUUUUAAAUUUCAUAGAAUUUAAUAUUAAAGUACAAUUAAUUAAAUUAGAAUGUUCAAUCUUCUUUUCUUUGCAACUCAGUGGUACAUUUUACGUUUAUUUAUAAGACUAGCAAAAGAUUGAGUGUCCCUAUCAAAUUAUCAAUUUAGCAGAGGGCAGGUUUUUGGUUAGGUGUCUACACAGAAAAAUAAAUCUUUUCGAUGUCGACCCAUUUAUUUAUUUAUUUAUCAAAUUUACAAAAUUACCCCUUAAUUGCAACUUCCCCUAAUAAUUUCAAAGCAUAAUAACUUAUUCAGCCCUCCAACUUUAUAAAAAGAAAUCAUUUUAGCCUUUUGUUUAAUUUUUCAUUUUUUUUAACCCUUAAAUUCGUAUUUUUAUCAAAUCACCCUAAAAUGAAAGGAAAAGUUAACGUUUGUCAAUUUUGCUGACAUGACAUACUCGUGUAUUGCCACACGAAUAACACAUUAAUAUUUAAUUAUUUAUUAAAUAUUAAAAAAAUAUUUUUAAAAAUUAAUAAAUGUUAACAUGUCAUCCACGUGUAUGCCACAUUAGCAAAGUUAACAAAUGUUAACUUUUUCAUUCAUAUUGAGGUGAUUUAACAAAAAACAUAAACUUAAAGGCUAAAUAAGACAAAAAGUUGAAUAAAUGACUAAAAUAACUUUUACUAUAAAAUUAAAAGGCCAAAAAAAAUAUUAUACAAUAUGAUUCUUGUACAUAUAAUCAGAUUGUUAGAUGUAAGUGAUAUAUAGAGUUGAGGGAAAUUCCAAAUUCCAAUAAAAGUGAGUUCAAAUUUAUGUUUUAAUUUGCAAAAAAAUAUAUCCCAAGUAUGUGAAAUCUAAAAGGUUAUGAAUUAUUUCCCCUUUUCUCCUACACCCAAACGUCCCUUUCUAUCUUUUUUUUUUUUAAUUAGAACUUAAGUUUUAGUGACAUACAUAGAGCAUGGACAAAUCUAGUGGACCGUAUAGGGGUCAUGGCUACUCCAAAGAUUUUAAUUAUAUAGUUUUAUUACAUAUAAAUGCUAAAAUCCGGUCAUUGACUACCAUGACUUUCCUUUUACGUCUUCGUUUUGAUCCAUUCGGUUUCAUUCAAUUUCUUUGAGAUUCAUUGCAUGUUAUCCUAAAUAUAAUUUGGAACGUAUGUUUAAUAAUAAAAUAGGUGCAUGCAUUAAUUAGAUUUGGCGCAAAGGAAAAUAUAUAUGAAGUACAAUUAGGAAUAAGUAGUUCUCAAAUGCUAUAAAUAACACAAGGUUUGCGUAACGCCAAGUUUGCAAAUAUAUAUUGUGACUGUAGCAGUUGUUGAAGAGUUACAUUAACAUUUAACAUCUUCCCUAUUUUGUUGUUUUAUUCGGAGGUGGUGUUGGUUAUUAUUUGUAUUUUGUUACUUUUUUUUUAUUGUUUAAUAAGUCUUCGCUUUUAAAGUUUUUUUGUAUUUCUUAUACAUGUAGUCUUGCUUUUGCAAGUAAUUUUUAGGGAUGGUUUUGUCGCCAUCCUCUACAGUUUAGUGGAUGCUUGAAUUUUUUGUUGAUUUUUGCCCACUGCUUUGGACCAUCCAGGAUUGAUUUCAUUAUCGUAUUAAAUGCUUGUAACACUCUAGAUAUGUCGUGCUUGAGUUGUGACAGAGCCAAUUAUUAACGUGUCAUAAUAUUCUAUUAAUGCCAAGACUGAAACCGUUGUUGUAUUGAUGAAGCUUAUAUUUAACCGUUAGUGUUUUUUAUUUUUUUUUUCGAAUUAUAUUGUCCCAUUCAUAAUAUGAAAUAAUAAAUUUCUCUUUCAAAACAUCUUCCCUAUUUUUAAUAAUUCGUUAAGUCAACUUUUUUUAAAAAAAAUUGUUGUAAUUAUUAGAAUCACUGUUUAACGACAAAAUCGCCAUGUUAAUGAUAAUUAAAGCAACUCCAAUAAUAAUAAUAUAUGAAUAAAUAAAGUAAUUUUAUUUUUGCCACAUUAGUUGUUAACUUAAAAGAAGGAUGAAUAAUAAUGGAUUUGGAGAAACUUCAAUGUUAGUGGGGUUUGCAUGGAAAUUAUGUUGGAAAUGAGAAUAGAAUUCAUAUGACACUGAAAGAACAAACAAUAUGGAAUUCAUAUUUUAGUCUUAUUUAUUAUAAGUCUGCUCAAUUUCUCUUAAAUAUAAUUUUUUUUUCCAAUUCUCUAAUCUCACAAAUUUGUGCCGAUAAAAAAAUAAAAUUCCAUAAAAAUCUGAAAAAUAAAUAAAUAAAAAACACCCUUUGUUGUAGUCUUAGUUAAGUUGGAGCAUAUAUAAUUCUGAAAAUGUGAAAAGGUCUUCCCACACUGUUUGAUUCUUUCAAUCGGUCAAAAACAGUUUUGACUGGUUCUAUUCUAACUAAUUGAGCUAAAGUGUCAAUUUGUUUACAAAUAAUUCAUUCCCACCUUCAUAAGUUAUUUUUACUAAUUUAAUUACUCAAUUAUUUUUUUUUAAUAAUCUGUCCCACCAUUUUACCAACUACAAUUGCUUUAUAUUUUUAUUUUGAAAAAAAAGAAGAGAAGGAAUCUAUCUCUUUCUCCUUUUUAAUUUUAAAGAGCAUGCAUAAAGGAGACUAGAAUUCAAAUUUAGUAGAUGUUAUUUAUUUAUUAAAAAUAUAUGAUUAGGCUUUCACAAAUUUCUUGAGUUGACUUGGCAAUGCUGCAAUGCAUAUAAUAAUCAACAAUUUUAAUUUAUAUGGCACAUUGCUAAAUCAAAUUCAAGGUCUUUGUCCAUAGUCAAGAUCACCGCUGAAGACAGUCCUGUCUAUUUCACUACAGCUCAGAAAGGGUUUUGCUUUGAUUCUCCAAUUUUAGUCUCUAAAGAUAUGGGUAAAAAAAGAUGGAAAAGUAAAAGGAGAUUGAGAUUAAGUGGGGACUAUGCAUUAUAUAUAAACUUUUUGAGUUAGGGUUUUGGUUUAUCCAACAUCAGAAAGUUAAGCAAAGGGAUUCUUGAGGAUUCAUAGCUUUUAUAUAAUCAAGUGAACUUUUGAAUCUAAAAAAUAAAGUUGGCUUUAUGGAAGACAAGAACAUAUGUAGCUACAUGUGGUCUAAAACACCACCUUUUUUCAUUCGUUCAACAUUCAACAAAGUUUACCCAAAACAACAUUCAACAAAGUUCACUGAUUCACUUAAUUUUCUCCAGCUAAAAUCAUAAUAUAUAUAAAAAGAUUGCACUCAUUCAUUCUUCUUCUCAUGAUGCUCAUGUGCAAACUUUCAACCCCCCCCCCAAAAAAAAAGAAAAAAAAAGAGGGCUUGACUUCAAUGUCAAGUCUCUUAAUCUUGAUGGGUUUGUUUUUUUUUCCUACAAAUUGAUAUUUGUAGGCUAAUUGGUAUUUUCCUAGCCAAAAAUAAAAAUAAAAAUGCUGAGUUAGGUGUUAUCAGCUGGUCCUUUUGAAUAAAAAUAAGUUGGUCAACAGUUUGAAUAAUCUUGUUUAUGAACAGAAAAUGUUGCUUAUACUUUAUCUUUUUAUGACUCUUAUCCGUUUGUCAAAGGAGCAAGAACUGCUUCUGAAACCCACAAUUUUUAGGAUCUACUGCCGGGCGAUGACUGCUAAUAGAGUGGGGCUCAAAUUUAAUCAUUCAAUCUUUUUCUGUUAUAUAGAAUUAAGCAUAGUGGAUAUUUGGUGACUUAACCUAAAAUUAAGUUUGAUCCAUAAAACCCUUUUGUCCUUUUUCUUUUCUUUAAUCAUAUUCAAACUCAACUUUAAACUAGUUGAGUUUGAUUUUAAUUAAGUUUGCUAUUAUUUGUGGAAAUAAAAUUUUAAAAGCCACUCAAAUCAAGCCCUAAAUACUACAUGAGUUAAGUGAAUUUACAUAAGAAUAGCAUUUAAACUUUAGUUCAGCUCAGUCUCCUAAAGGUUAUUUAAUUUUUUUUUUCUAAGGGAGCUUUAUACACUUCUAAUAAAAUUUAUUAAUUUCAAAUUAAAAAACUUAUUACGUAUCUACUAUUUAAAACUAAUCAUGUGUUACAUUCUUAAUCCGUGAUAAAAAUAAUAAUUAAGCUAUGAAAUUUACACAUACCAUCACAAUUCAAGUUAACCAUGGCAUCAACAGGGAUGGGGCACAUUUUCAACAUUAGUGGCUUCAGCGACAAUACACUAGUCAUUAACUUGGCCACUGCAAGAUUCCAAGUUAAUCUAUGAUUAAUGUCUGCAGCAGAAUUCGUCCAUUUCGAACAUAUCCACAUGAAUCAAGUUGCUGAACGGUUCAUUGGGUAGGAUCUUUUGACCAAGUUUAUCCCAUUGGAUAGAACAUUAUAGGAUGGGCAAAAUCCAAAAAGUUUGAGCUGAACAUGCGGUUCAUAUAAUUGCUUACUUCGAAUGCGAACUAGUCGUUUCCUUGAUUGAAUAUUUGGUUCCGGCACCUUUCCAUCAUUUCCUUGAGCUUGUAUGUCACAAACUUUGAUUUGCUACGUGUAUAAUUCAACAAUCAAUCAACUAAACUGCAAACUUUUUAUUAUUGUAGAUAAAAAUGGAAUUUGAGGUUAAAUCACAAACUUUCAGGAAAACACAUAAAUAUUGGCAUGCCGGCGAAGUAGAAAUCUGAAGACAAUGCAGCAGAGUAAAGCAAAAAGCCAACCAGGCAACUUCUUAAAUGCCCAAUAUUUAACCAGGAUUGUGAGUUAGUCAUAAUUCUUGCAAAAUAUAAUGGAGAGUAAGCAAUAGUGCGACACCUUUCUCCUAUUAUAGUUCAAGAAGGAUUUGGCCAUUAAAAUUGGUGUCCAAGCUCUGGAUUUGAAACUUCCUUGGGAGAGAUUGAGAUCCUUAAAGGCAACUUGGUCUUGAAGAGGUAUAAGUAGGGCCGUUCACUGACCUGCUGUUUAUGCUAAAGCAGAAUCCGAUAUCCCCUGGAAAUCCAACUGCCAUUUUCUUGCCAAGGUGAAGGAACUUUGUCAUUUUAGCAUGCAAUGUUCUAUCAUCGAGGAAAUGUUUUCUUAUUAGACCAUGUGUUGUAGAUGCUCUAAAUUUAUGUUUUCACAACUUAGUCAUGUGAUCCUCUGCAUCUAUAUUGUGUAAGUUGGGUUUUUCAGUAGCAAAUGGUCGAAUGAAAAAUGGAGUUUAUUACUGCAUACAGGUAAACAAAUGUGUUGCAUCGUAAUGUUCUCAAGCAGAGCAUUUUUUCUUUCGGUAUCCACUGUCGGUUAUAGUGACUAAUUCCUCUCACUACGAGUGCUUUUCGAAGUGGUAAACGGUUGGUCAUAAAAUGUGCUCCACCGAACUCCCCCGAUCUCAUGAUUAAAGGAACAUCUCAUGUAAGAAUCACUUUAAUAUCUCACAUACAUUGAUAUUUCGGUUCUAUAUUAUAUAUCUGCCUUACUGAACUUUGCAUUUGUCCUGUUUUUGUCUUUUUGGCUUCUGAAGUUAUUUUUGUUCUUUUUCUUAAUAUUUUCUUAAUCCAGUUUUUGUGCAUUAUUGAUGUUACAGUAAUGGUGUUUCAAGAGCAAGUAAAAAGAAGAGGUUUUUUCUUUUGCUCAUCUCAUAAGCUUGUUGAUAUCAAGACAGCGUGCUCUUUUCUUACCUUAAUGAAUUCAACUUUAUUUUUGUACGUUUAUUUUAGAGCAUGAUACGUUAAGUCUCUGCACCAAAUUUUGACUUACAGCUGAAAGUAGGGUUUUACAAGAUUAGUUGUCCUUGAGCUGAAUCUAUAGUUAAAGCCGUUGUUCGAAGACGUUUAAACCGGGACAAGUCCAUCACUACCGCCUUGCUUCGCAUGCAUUUUCAAGAUGAAAUUAUUGAUAAAAUAAAAGGGAUAAUGAUAUAUUUGCCCCCUGAACUUUGGAUAAUCUUCUAAUGUGGUACUUUUACUUUCAAAAUGUCUAUUUUGAUACUUGUACUUUUGCACUGUUAAUCAAUCUAGUACCUUUGACAGACGACGUUAGUUUCUGGCAUGGCGAGACACGCGGCCCAGCUAUAAGUUCCCACAUUUCACAUUUUCCAGAAAAUAUUUUAUUCCCAAAUAAUGAGAGGGACCUCAAAUUAAUUAUACCAAAAAAUAUCUUAAGCAAAAAAGAAGUUUUUUUGGUCAUAUUUUCUUAUUUGAAAUAAUGCAUCAGGACCUAAGAUUAAAUAAUCAAAAAGUUUUUUUUUUAAAUCUUCACCUUUUUUAUUUUUUACCUUCAAAACUAAUUAUUUUUAAUUAAAAUAAAUCUGGGCAAAUCUGAAUGCUCUUAAAAUAAAUCUUUAAAUCUCAAAUAAAAUAUAUUUAAUUUAAUUUAACAUAAUUAAUAAUAAUUUUAGAAAACAUAAUUAAAAAUGAAAAUCCAAUUUUUUUCUCUUUUCUUCUUCUCCUUUUUUUGUAUAAUUUUCCCAUAAUUUUGACAGUUAAUAAUAUGGUUAAUUGUAUAUUGAUGCAAUUAAUAUUUUUGGUAUAAUUUACAUUUUCUCAUCAGUGAAAAUUUUAUUUAUCCAUGUAGAUGAAAAGUAAAAAGAAUUUGGUAGGACAAAGCUAUUUUUUAUGGGUGAGUAUUUGGUAAAUUGAGCAGUGUAUUUUUUUAUUCUAUAAGUACGUUUUAAAAAUUGACAUGUGUCUUUUCUUUUUAAAUAUCUAUUUUUUAAAAUCUUCUAUUUUACCCUAUAAGACAUUGGUCAACUCUUUAAUUCUAUUAACUCUACCUGUGGAGUCUAAAAGUGUAUCAAAUAUUUUCCCUUCUUUUAUUUGUAUUUAGGAUUAACAUUCAAAAUGAAUAUAUUUCUUUGUUAUAAAUAUUUUUGAAAAUAUAUUUUUUCAUACACUUGAAUUCAUACCUAUAAUCUAAUUUUACAUCAUAAUCUUGAAUCCCAAGUUGUAGCCUAUUGUCCGGGUGUUUAUUUUUUUCAAAAUAAUCUGGAUUCAAAUUACGAUUGCAUAAAACAAUAUACAAAUUAUUUUUAAAUAUAUUUAAUUUCAACCAAAAUGUGAGCAAAUUAGAUUAAUUCAAAGAUCUGUUAAUAAUAAAAUUUUUAAUUCUGACUUUCUAAUUUAUAUUAAAUAUUGUAAAAUAAUUUAUCCGACAGAAAAUCAUUAUUUUGAUAUUUUUUAUUUUUUAUUUGAUUAAAAUCACUCAACUGGAAACAAGAAACUUACUGCAAGCUUUCAAAUUCAAUCAUAUUGAUUUUAUGAUAAAAUCUUAACAACAAUUUUAGAUGUAUUUUAUUGUUUAUUAAAAUUGUAAACUUUAUUCUUUCUCUAAAACUAAAUCAAUGAGGCGUCACCCAUUCAAACUGCCAUUUGUUAAACAAUGAAGUGUGGCACUUAAUCUCCUUACUUUGUUUUUUUGUUAAAAAUCUUAUAUAAUAAACUGUCAGCAUCAACAAAGAUCACCUACUUUUUUGACAACAUACAUAAUGGUUCGUAUAAUUGCUAGCCUCGUUUUAUGACAUCUCCUAUGGCACCUUCAUUCUAUUGUAACAAGUUUACCCCAUCGAGUAGAACAUUACAGUCUGAGCAAACUCCUAAAGAGGACCAGCUAAACAUUCAUAAUGGUGUAUAAUUGCUUGCCUCGAAUGCCGACCAAUCAUCUCAUUUAUGACACUUCCCUUGGCACCUUCAUUAUAUUGUAAGGAAGAUUAUAGCAGCUAGGAUUCUUGCAUAUUAAUGAUGACUCUCCACGAGAUCAGCAAGAGUUAUCUUCCCGCAGUUGCCGACAUCCAGCCUAUCAAAUGUCUCGCAGAUCUGCAUGAUGUCUUUUUCUGAUACCUUCCCCAACUCCUUGAGCUUGUAUAUCACAAACUCUAAUUUGCUGCAUGUAUAAUCCAACAGUAAUACUUAACAAUUAAUCAACCAGACCUCGCACUUGUUCGUAUUGUAGAUGAAAAUGGAAUCUGAGACAAAUUUAGUAACUUAAAGCAUAACACAUAACUUUUGGCAUACAAAUUACCAAAAACAACAUUUUAAGAUGCAAAAUAUCGGAGGAUAAUGCAACAAAGUAGGUCUGAGAUAGCUGAUGAGCAUAUAAGCAGCAUGGCAAGAAGUAGAGCAGAAUAAGCAGUGGGCUUCAGUUUGUCCACAACAAAGCAUCUUG
rnacentral:lncRNA from 1 species